rnacentral:lncRNA from 1 species
CUACUUGUUCUAGUGACUAUAUAAGAGCCUUUGUUCUGAAAUAUAUGUCAAAUGGGAGUCUUGAGAAUUGGUUGUACAGAGAAGCUCGCCACUUGAACCUUCUUCAAAGAGUCACUGUAAUGCUUGAUGCGGCUAUGGCAAUUGAAUAUCUACAUCAUGGCAAUGACACUGCGAUAGUUCAUUGUGACAUAAAGCCAGCCAACGUUCUUUUGGAUGAAGAUAUGGUGGCGCAUGUUGGUGAUUUUGGAAUCUCUAAGAUUUUAGCCGUAAGCAAGUCCAUGACACAAACCGAGACAUUGGGCACUCUUGGAUACAUUGCACCAGGUAUACUAAAAUUAUAACCUUUCUAUUUAAUUUUUCUCUUAUCAAAAUCAAGCCCUUGAAAAUUCUAGGACUAAAUAAAAAGCAAGUCUUUGUUAGUAUGAGCAUUAUUACUAUAUCCAAAUGAGUUAGUUCUUUUUCAUUUUCGUUCUUUUAAGAGUACGGCUCAGAAGGAAUAGUGUCGGCUAGUGGUGAUGUUUACAGUUACGGCAUCAUGUUGAUGGAGGUUUUGAUGAAAAGAAGGCCAACAGAUGAAGAGAUAUGCAAUGAAAAUCUUGACUUGAGGAAAUGGAUAACACAAUCAUUUUCAGGGAGUAUGAUGGACGUUGUGGAUGCCAAUCUUUUUUCCGAGGAAGAACAAAUCACUUGUAAAAGUGAAAUCUGCAUAGGGUCCAUGAUAGAAUUGGGUUUAGACUGCACAAAGGAAAUGGCAGAAUCAAGAAUAAGCAUGAAAGAAGUAGUGAAGAGGCUUAACAAAAUCAACAACACAUUUCUCGAAACAUAGAAGUGAUCAGCAUCUCUUCUGAUGGUGUUCUUUUCUAAGUUACUAUGAUGUGUUUUGUUUACCUCAUUUUGUGAUAUUCAGAACCUGUUUCACUUUCUUUAUUCGUAACUAUGUUUUGAAUGCUUGAAUAAACCAGUGGAGUAUUAAAUUAAGUAAUAUUAUGAAAGAAGUUUAGCUAAACCAGACAAGACAAAACAUAAUUAAAUUUAAAUUUAUAAAAAAAAGCACAAAAGCAAAUUUUAUAUAUUCUCUUUGUCCCAUUUUAUAUGUUUUAUUUUUCUUUUUAAUCCGUCUAAAAAGAAUGACACAUUUUUAUAUUUAACUUUAAAAUGUUCAUUUUAAUCUUAAUGAAUGAUUUCUAGCCACACAAAUAUCUACCACUCAUUUAAACCACAAGUUUCAAUUUUAGUUAAAUUUAUAUAUAAAAAUAUGAUUAUAUGAAUUUAAACUAAAGAUAAAAUGCUAAAUGCAUCUAUUUGUUACACUUCUACGAUAAAAACAAAUUAGGUAUGUCUCUUUCAGUCCCUCCUAUAAGAUUGAGAUUUUGAAAUUGAAAUUUCAUAUAAAAUUCCAUUUGUAGAAUAAAACAAAAAACUAACUAGAAAAGUUCAUGAAAACAAAUAGCCUUACUGGAUUCGAAUUCUAGUCUUACAAGUGGUUUCUCUAUCUUGUACCAAUAACACAAGAAAACGCUUAUGCUAUUUACGAGUGCGCUGCUAAUUAUAUCAUAAUUUUUGCCAAUUUCUCAAGAUAGAUAUACAUAUAUACACAUUAUUUUUUCCGAAGUUAACGGAUAUACAUACACCCCACCGAACAAGGUGGGUCCGCCUCUGCUUAUGUCAAGCAAAAUCCACUAAAAUCUCUCCACAUGUGAUGAGAUAUUGCCAUCAUAUUGUUUGUUGGAGACCCAACCCGUGACCUUGUCCUUUUGAGCUUUUAAACCUAACCUAAAACUCCAAAAAUAGUGAUGUCAGUUUUGCAAGAGUAUCGUUCACUAGGUUGUUUCGAAUGAAUUCAUAAAAUUUGGGAUUAAAUAGAGUUGGCUUGACAUAUUUUUUAAAAAAAGGCAUAAUAUAUAAAUAUGUCAUUUAAUUAAUAUUUAUAUAUGCCCUUUCAAUUUUGAGUAUUGUGCACAAGUAGACACUUAAAUUUGUAUAAAAUUGAACAAAUAGACACAAUCGUCUUACUGUCACUCCUCGAGCCUACACCCUGGACGUGACCGGCACUCGAGAACCAUUGUUGGUCCCCAAGCGAACCCUUGACUGGCCGAAUACUUAGCGGAAGGCUUACUCAAGCAAAAUAGGAACUCCAAAUGCAAAGGUUACCUCAUAAUGUCUCAAUAACAACUUAACUCAAUAAAAGUCUGGGAAUACUUAAAUAAACAUAAGUAAUCAACUCAAAGUCUCAAAACAUCAACAAGGGAAAUAUGGAGAGACUCCUCAACUUCUAACUAACUAUGAAGCCUCUAAAUACUAAGAUAGGUGUCGGGACAAGACCUUCGACAACUUAACAAAGAAGGAAAUUUGAGUCUGAAACCCUCCGGUAAGCAAGGAGGCUCACCAAAGCUAGCUGGAGUGCCAAUGGUAUCAACGAAGCUCAUAUUGAUGACCCUAAACACAUGUGUCUGCAUCAUAAAUAAGAUGCAGGUCGAAUGACGUCAGUACAUUGAAUGUACGAGCAUGUAAGGGAAAAACUGAAAACAUAUAUAGCUGAAUUGAUAAGACUAAAAGACAUACUCACCUCAACUCAACUCCAAUAUGAAAGAAAAAUAUAAGAGAUGCAAUAUUUAAAGCUUUUAAAACAGUAGAUGGGGGUGUACAAAACCGAACCGAAAACCGAAAAAAAAUAAUCCGACUAGUGGUUUGGUAUUGGAAAAAAAAACCCGACUAUAUUUGGGUUGGUUUGGUUUUAACGAAAAAAACCAACCCGAGAACAAACCAACCCGACAUUAUAUAUGUAAUUUUAAAAUUUUAUUUUAUACAUAAAAAUAUUUACUUUUGAUAUAAUUUUAAAAAAAUUCUUAUACUAUUUCAUAAUUUUUAUCUUUUAAUAUAUUAUUUCAAGUUUAAAACUUAGAAUUCGAAAUGGUCCAAUAAAGAUUAUAGUUCAUAGAUGUUGAUAAUUAUAAUAAAACUUAAAUCAAAAUCAAACUAAUACUAAUGCAAAAAGAAAAUCAAUUCAAUACUAUGAAUGACAAUAAUAUUGAAUAUUUGUUCUUUAGUUUUACAUUGAUUUNNNAAUAAUAUUGAAUAUUGGUUUUUUAGUUUUACAUUGGUUUAGACAAUUAAAAUGCAUAAUCUAAUUUUAAUUUUCCUUAAAUAUUUAGUAAUGUAACUAAUACUUAUUAAACUUAUUUUAGCAUGAUUUAGUACUUUUAAAUUAUGAUCAUUUUCAUUAUGACUUUGCAAUAUUUAUUUUAUAUGAUGAUUUCAUUAUUAUUUUUUAUUGAAUAUUUUAGUGUCAUUAGUACUCAUCUCAUAUUUUGUGUUAUUUUUUUAAAAAGAAACACCUUAGAUAAUUACAUUUUGGUUGGACUAAAGAAAUAUUUGGAGUACAAGUUAAUUAUAUGUUUGUAUGCAAAACUUUUACCAAAAAAAUCGGAGGUUUAUUAGUUUGGUUUGAUUUAUAAAUUUUAAAAUUAGACACAAUGGUUUGGUUUGGUAUUUGAAAAACCCGAACCAACCCGAGGUUGAAAAAUUCAAAAAAUCCAAAUUUUAUUAGUUUGAUUUGGUUUAUAAAUUUAAUUUUUUUACACAAAUGGUUUGGUUUGAUAUUUGAAAAAACCUAACCAACCCGGUCAUGUACAUCCCUAACAGUAGAUAUCAACUCAAAAUGUAUAAAAAUACAAUAACAUACUCUUUCUCUUUACUCUUAUUUGAGAGAUUCUCUAACCGACAACCAUCACUAUGAGCUAUGUGAUGAUACAACGUCUCACCCACGCUGCCAGAACUGUGCUACAACUUGCCCGGGUAUAAAACACCUCAACUAAGUGGAUCCACUAAGCUAUGCUUAAAACCAAUGAAGAGUCGUCUAAAAAGUACGAUCAUUUACCCAUGUUGGCUACAUGAUUUAUGAGGAAUGUGAGUUGUCUGAACUUAUCUUUAUAUUGGUGUGCAAUACUACUCCCAAUAAUAUAUAAACUCAUGCUCAAAUGUAUAAAACACAACUCUUUCUCAAUUUAAGGUAAUUACUCAAAAAAUCCUCUCAAAAGAGGUGAUACUCGAAAACAUCUCUGAACUCAUAAACUCACUUAGAAAUCAACGUUUCUCUCUUUUAAAUGUAAAAGUGUUACAUUUAGGAAUACUUAGUUCCCUUAUACUCUUUUUUCAGUAACUCUUAAUUCUCAAAGAGAUUAUGAAACUCCAACUUUCAUAAUUAGCAAUUCAGCUUUUUAAGGCUCAUCCGCAAUCAUCCUUCGCUAGAUCACGCUCAAGCUCAACUAUGUAAUUAUGGAGUCCAAUUGUAAGAUCAAGGACGAUUGAAAUUCAAGAAAAAUUUAAGUUGGCAUUUAUAACCAUUAACCAUUAAUAAAAAUAUUUUAGUGUAUAUACUUUGGUGGCCGAUUUGGUACAAUUAUUGAUGAUAUGUUAUUUUAAAUAGUGAUAUGUAAGGAAUAUACUUUGGUGGACGAUCUGGUACAAUAAUUGGUGAUUUGUUGAUUUUUAACUAUGAUAUGUUUUAGUGUAUAUAUUUUAAUGGAUGAUAUAGUUAAAAUAUUGAUAAUUUGUUGUUUUCAAUUUGAUGGAGGGUGUGGCCAAUUUUUUUGGUGAUAUGUUGAUUUAGAACUAUAAAAAAAUUUUGAUUUAUAAUCUAUGGUAAGGUUGAUUUUAGUUAUAUGUUCCAACCCUAGAAUGCAUUACACCAUAAUCUAAUCUAGUAUAUACCAACUUUUUAGUAUCAUCAAACUAAUUUACAUAGUGUACAAUGUGGUGUAACUUUGUGUCAAGUCAAAUUUUAAUAACUAUAACAACUGAAAAUAAUUGGUGGAUUUGUUGGUUAAAAAAUAAUGGUGAUUUGUUGAUUUAAAGUUGCAAUAUGUUAUAGUGUAUACACUUUGAUGUAUGGUAUGACUAAUUUUUUGGUGAUAUGUUGAUUUAGAACAAUAAAAAAAACUUGAUUUAUAAUUGAUGGUGAGGUUGAUUUUAGUUAUAUGUUCCAACCCUAAAAUGCAUAACACCAUAAUCUAAUCAAGUAUAUACCAACUUUUUAGUAUCAUCAAACUAAUUUACGUGGUGUACAAUGUGGUGUAAUCUUUGUGUCAAGUUCAAAUUUUAAUAACUAUAACAAAUUAACAACUUAAAAUAAUUAGUGGAUUUGUUAGUUGAAAAAUAAUGGUGAUUUGUUGAUUUAAAGUUGCAAUAUGUUAUAGUGUAAAUACUUUGAUGUAUGGCAUGGCUAAUUUUUUGGUGAUAUGUUGGUUUAGAACUAUAAAAGAUAUUUAUUUAUAAUUGAUUGUAAAGUUAAUUUUAGUUAUAUGUUACAACCCUAUAAUACGUAACACCAUAAUCUAAUAAAAUAUAUACCAACUUUUUAGUAUCAUUAAACUAAUUUACAUGGUGUACAAUAUGAUUUAACUUUGGUGUCAAGUUCAAAUUAAUCUAAUUCAAUUUUACCAUAAUGAGUGUAUUAUACCAAAUUAUAACCAAGUAAAUUAAAAUAAAUAAAUUCAUACAUUGAUGAUAAAUUUAAUUUUUGAUUAUAUAUUCCAUCUAAAUUGGUAUAAAAUAUGAUUUAAAAAAAAUUGAAGGGAGAAAAAAAAAAAGAACAAAGAAUUUUUUUCAGAAAAUAAAAUGGGGUAAGAAAUGGUAAAAAAAAAAAGAGGAUAAAGAGACGAAGAGAGAGAGAAAUAAGAAGAUGAGAGACAAAAAAUUCAGAAAAAAAAAGGCGGAGAGAGAAAAAGAGAACCUGUUUGGUUCAAAAUUUUAAGAAAAAAUUUAAAAAAAAGAGGAGAAAAAUAAGGAAAUAAAAAUAUUGAGGGAUUAAUUAUUGAGAGAUUUGUGGAAGGUAAAUAACAAAAUGAGAGGAAAUUAAGGAAUGAAAUUUUAUGAAUAUAGGAACGUGUAUUGUUGUUUUAUAAUUUAUCAUUUGUUUUUUACUUGUAUUGUUUUGUAAAAAUUCUAUUGUUAUGUAGGUGAAAAGUUAAAUUAUUGUUAUAUGGAGGUUAUUUAGGUGGUUAAAUUGUAUAUUUAAGUUUUCGAAGAUUUUAUUUAUAAAUGCUACUUCUGUGAUUUAGAUUGUCAGGAAGGUUGUUUCAAAAUAGUUAUUACUAUGUAAACAUUGUUCUUUUGUUUUACUAAUUUAGUAUUUAUUAAUAUUUCAGUGAUUUCGACUAAGAAAAGUUCAUAUGACUUCUAAUAACGCCAGUUGAAGUUUGUAUUUGGUUAAUUUUUAUUAUUUAUUUAAUAGUUAAUUUUUAUGAUAUAUAUAUAUAUAUAUAUUUGGGUAGGUAUUUAUAUAUGUUACGAAUAUAUUAUCAAGUUAACAAGAUCUUCUAACGUCAAAAUAUAUUAAAAUUUCCGAGUUCCUUUUUUUUUUUAAAAAACUCACAACAAAUGUGAAAAUAUGUGAAUAUUUAUGAAUCAUUUAAAAUUUAUCAUUAACAAAAUAAAUUUUAUAUUCAGUAAUAUGGAGUAAACAUUUUCAUUUUGUCUCUACACUAAAUUAAAAUCUAAUAACUAUAAAAAAAAAUAGUAGCAUUAAUUAAAUGUCCUAUUUAUUUAUGUAAGUAUAAGUUACUACUAAUUAUUGCAAAUGUUAUUCACACUCUUUUACAUUCUUUAGUUAUAAUAUUAUGAAUUCUCAUAAUUAUUACAUUAAUUAUUUCUAUCAUUCAUCUUUCCAUAUAUUAACUUUUGACCUAUAAUUUUUCAUAUUAUUAUACCGCUCAUAUAUAUGUGAUAACACAAUGUUGUUAUUUUUCCUUGGACGAAUCAUGCUUGGUUGAAUAAAUUGAAAAUUGUUUACAAGUAUAUAAACUAUAUCUUUGUUGGGUGUAAGAUAAACAUGUGAUUAUAUAAAUGAUUUCACAGAUAAAAUAUAUUCUUUUAUUUUAAUGUUUGUUUUUCAGUUAAAAAAAAAAGGAAACCUUUCUCAGUUAACUAUGGACAGUUAGAUUACUAUCUUUGAUUUAUGUACACAGUCAAUCGAGAAGUCAAAUAUGAGAGCCAACAAAAAGAACAUCAUCAAUUAUGUUAUAACUUAUAAAUAAAAAUUAAUAUACAAAAAUAGUUCUAAAAAAUAAAAUGUAGUUGUUCUCAACAUGUUUAUAUGAGAUCUAAACAAAUUAAGUGGAAUACACGUCCAAAACACAUCUGGUUAGAUGACAAGAAAAAUGCACAACAAAUAUCGUCUAUAAGGUAAUAUUGGUGAGAUACGACUAAUUACAUGAUUGAACCUCAUCAUAUUGAAAUAAAUAUAUACAUUAUUGCAUUUAACUAAUAAAAUUUUGCAUUGACCAUCUUCAUAGGUUCGUGUGAAUAAGAGAUAUAUUUGACGAUCCACAUUGAACAUUCACAAAAAAAUCUGCAAUAUUAUAUUGUGCAAACCUUAUUAUUCAAAUCUUCACUUACAUUUUCUGAAUUGAUAAUCACGUGCAACGCACGUAUCGAAAAAUUAGUAAUAAAUAAACACACAAAAAAAACACUCUAAAUAAAUUGAACCAAGUAUACAUAAGUUGGUUUUAUCUAAUGAGCACACAUUAAUUGGAAUUAAUUCCAAGUAUUAUUUCAACCAGUUUGACCACCAACACCAGGACGUUUGCCUGGAGGUUUUGAUUGUACUGCUGGAGAGCCUCUUAUUACUCUUGUUGCUUGUGAUAUUUUAUUAUUAUUAUCUCCUUGUGCUUCAUCUUUCUUUAUUCGAGAAUAGGAAAAUAGGGGUUUUUGUAAUUUUUCAAACGAUAGAAAAUUUUAGAGAAUAUAGUAAAAUAAAUUGUGUAUUUAGGUAAUUUAUCUUUAAAUAUUUAGACAGAUUUAAACAGAAGAUUGUAUCAUAUAAAUUGAGACAUACUACUUUUAUAUUGAUAUGUUGGCAAUUUUAACUUGGAUCAAUUUGUUUAUUUUACUACUUUACCUUUUCAUAUUCGUUUUUGAUCUUUUGUAGGUUUUAGGAAAUUUAAAUUGAAACAAGAGAUUCGAAAAGAUUGUUGAGAGUACAUAUGGUUUGGCAACAGACAAAGGCGGCCAUAUUUAUCCCCUAAAUACAUUCAAUUUUGUUUCCUUUCAAGUUCAUGUUCUUGUGCAUCUCCUCCUGAUUAUAAUGAGAAUGAAUAUAAUCUCGUGUUAAACUCAAUCUCAUAAAAAAGAUCAUCAAACUUUUGUGGGAAUUUUUUUUAACUUUUAAAUUUUUAGUUACAUGGAACUAAUUUUUAAAAUAUUUUAAUUAUUUAAAAAUAUGAUUUUUGUGGUGCUGACAUAUAAUCGCUUUUUCCUCUCGAUAGAUAUUUGUGUUGUAGUAAGAUUCCUAGUAUAACUAGAAUAGGACUCUUAAGUGCUUUUUCCUCUCCUAUUAUAUAUAGAUAGAUAGGACUCUUCAACUCAACAUUAUUUUUCAGACUUGAGAUUUCUACAAAUAUUGAUAGCUAUGGGGACUACCAUAGGCACUUACAAAAGGUUCAAGCCUCACAUCCUUAUGGUUUUGGCUCAAAUUGCUUACACUUUUUUGUACUUCAUAACUGAAGCUUCCUUCAAUCAUGGAAUGAAUCCUCAUGUCUACAUAACUUAUCGGCAAAUCGUUGCCGGUCUUGCUAUGUUACCCUUUGCCUAUUUUCUUGAAAGGUAAUCACAAAGUCAUCUCCAAUGCAGAAAUGCAGUUUUUUGAUGUUUCUGUUGAUUUUUGUAGAAAUAAAAGGCCAAAGUUAACUAUAAGUCUCAAACAACAUAUGAAAAUUUGAUCUUUGAUAGAUCUUACCCCAGUAGAGAGAGUACAAACAUCAAAUUUUCAUAUGUUGUUUGAGAGUUAUAGUUAAUUUUGGCCUUUUAUUUCUGCAAAAAUCAACAGAAACAUAAAAAAAACUGCAUUUCUGCAUUGGAGAUGACUUUGUGAUUACCUUUCAAGAAAAUAGGCAAAGGGUAGCAUAGCAAGACCGGCAACGAUAUGCCGAUAAGUUAUGUAGACAUGAGGAUUCAUUCCAUGAUUGAAGGAAGCUUCAGUUAUGAAGUACAAAAAAGUGUAAGCAAUUUGAGCCAAAACCAUAAGGAUGUGAGGCGUGAACCUCUUGUAAGUGCCUAUGCUAGUCCCCAUAGCUAUCAAUAUAGAAAUCUCAAGUCUGAAAAAUAAUGUUGAGUUGAAGAGUCCUAUCUAUCUAUAUAUAAUAGGAGAGGAAAAAGCACUUAAGAGUCCUAUACUAGGAAUCUUACUACAACACAAAUAUUGGACUGUACUUGCUUUGUGGGGAAAAGAAGAUCCACAACCAGAAUUGAAAGAGAAAGAGAAAGAGCCAAUGCUGCACAACUAACGAAGUGCAUCACGAAGACCCUAUGAUGCAGAUUAGUGCAGAACCUCUCCUUUAUGUCUGAAGUAGUAUGCUAGAAGUAAAACAAUAAUAGACAUAAUUCGAGUAUAGUCAAGACUCAUUUUUUCUUUUUUUUUGUUUGGAUGUUCAAUUAGUUAUGCAAGAUGUGGCAGGUUAAAACAGCAGCCCAUAUCAUUCAUAUUUCUGUCCAGUCCAGUCCAGAGAGACUAGACAAAUCACACAUAAUUCAUCUAACUAGCAUCAAGAUGUUCACCCAUCCUAACCAGUAAAUGGAGCUCUCCAAAGUCCUACGCACAGUUAAUUAGUUCUAAACGUCACUGAAUUACCCCUGGGAUUGAUAUUCCCUCGGCUGCAGCAUCAUAUAGAAUCCAUAAAUGCUCAUAAAUAACUAGUACCACAUAGUUUGGAUACACAAACUAAAAUGUCAAGACAAACAAAAAUGCGGGCAAAAGUAGCAGAUGUCAAUCAAAUCCAAUUCCAUCUAGAGAAAUUAUCUGCCAUACAUUAUCUUGCAAGAUUCUCAAGCAGCUGAGCUUAUGAUCUUGAGAUGUGUCCCGCGAAGAUGGCUGUAGAUACUGCCACAUUGGCACAUGGCCAUCCGGCUGAUAUGCUGCUGGAUGAGGUGGAAUAAAACUUGCUCUUUCAACUCUUGCUCCAUCCUCUCUUUGUAGUGCAAAUUUCUCUUCGAAAACAUUUUGUCUGUGAGAUUGUACACUGGGCAUCAGAGAUAGGAAUUCAUUCAAGUAAUCAAAGCCAAAAUUUCUUCUAAUUCCAUUCAAGAGUUAGUACUCAAGACUGCCAGUCACCAAGCUACUUUAGCCUUUCAACAAAAUCAUUUCUAACCUUCAAAGUCUUCCAUAAGCUUUUGGUUCAUCUCUUUGUAUUCCUCAGAUUCAGUCUUCAGCUGGUUUAGAUCACCAAGUAUGGCCAUUUUGUCUGUUUUUACAGCUCUCCUGGGUUCCAGAACAGAGCAUAAAUCUGAAAACCUAGAUUAAUAGAUUGAUUUAGAACACCUAAUUUUCAUUUUCAUUAUAAUAUAACUGAUACUAAAGUGUCACUUAAAAAAACAUACUACUUCGCCUCUCUUCUUUCUUCAGUAACAAUUAAUAAUCGCUAGCUACCCGAAUAAUGACCUUUUUAAAAUACUCUUAGCUAUACUUAGAAGAACUUCCAAUGGCAGCUCCAAGUCUUGUAAGACUUCCCAAGCCAGCAGAAAACAAGAUAGCUAUAAAAUUGCAAUGAACUGCAUCCAUGUUUUAUCUACAAACCUAAUUUAGAAUGCAGAGAGAAAAUAAGAAUUCAUAUGAGGCUGAGCAUGACAAUACCUUUCAUUCAAUUUUUCCCUUCUUAAUCUCUCACGGCAAGCUUUGUUCCCUUGUAUACUUUUGUACAGGCUCAAAUUUCAAAGCCCUAUAUGAGUUAGCCCGGAGGGAUGGAGUGGUCAACCCAUAUUGACACCUUUAUUCACAGUGUUACCAAAUAGUAAAAAUGCGAUACCACAACUUGUUAUUUGAGUUACUUACUCUCAAUCUUCUUAUUUCUUUAGAUUAAAAAACUAUUAAGUAUAAUUUAUUUAUUCAAGAAUUAUGAAGGUCAACAAUGUUAACUAAAGAAUUUAACACAUAAUGGAACAGAAGCUAGGGAUAUGGCUCAAGGAAAUUCCUAAUCCCUUACAAGUCUGCAUAUUAGAUAUAAAUAUGGAGGUAAAGAGCCAAAAGAGAAUGAACAUAUGGCUGAAGGAAUUUUUUUCCUUAUGGAUGAUCUAAAGUUAGGAAAAACAUUAACAAUGGAUCUUCCUUCUUCUCUACAAAUGUUACCAAAAAAAGUUCCAUUUUCAUUGAAGGAACUCCCAAACCUUGUUAAACAUUUCUCAUUUUCUAAUGACCCUCCACAAGAAAAAUCCAUGGAAGAAGUAUGUGAAGAUUCACCCAUGAAGGGAGAGACUAAGGGCCCGUUUGGCCUUGCGAUAUGGUAUCAUGAUAUGGAAUCAUGAGAUGAAAUUGAAGUUUUGUUUGGACAUGCGAUAUGGAAUUUUUGUGUUAUAUAUUUUCUCAUUAACAUAAAAUUUUCAUAAGUCGUAAAACUAUUAAAAUAGCCCAAAUUGUUUAUUCAAUCUUAUCAAAUAAACAAAAUUUAUAAAACCGCAUAAUAAAUUAUUACAAAGCUAUUUGUUCUCCACUUAAGUAAUUGUUUCAUGUAACUUUAAUUUAAUAAAAAAAAAUUGAACAUAAAUUGUAGUGUACUAGUCUUUAAUAUAAUCCUCCGACAUAGUACGGACAAUUUCCUCACGUUGAACUUGCAUUUCUCGAUCAUGUGACCGAGAAGACGAACCAACAUUGUUACUUUGAGCCAUUUGUUGGUCAAUAUCAUCCGCAACUAUAUUUUUAUGCUCAUAGACCAUAAAUAUUUCAUCACUUUAACAAUCGGUUGGUGUGAGUUAAAGUGACUAUAUGUUGGUGAGAAUAAUAAAUUUUAUGUCAGUGACAAUAAUAAAUUUUAAAAAGUAAUGAUGUGAUUAUAAAUUUUAUUUACAUAUGAAAUAAAUGGUUAGUAGAUAUAAAUGUGGGGUUGUUUUAACAAAAUACAAACUCGUGGAUCAAUUUUUGUAUUAAAAUAUCUCAAAUCAUGAUAUGGAAUUCCCCAUAUAAUUCCAUAUCAUGGUUUUUGGAGAAUAUGGAAUCACAUCUCAUGAUAUGGAAUUGAGAUGGAAUCAGCGUAAAAUCGCAUGUCCAAACGCUGAUUCCAUCUCACGAUACCAUAUCGUAAUAUGAUAUCGCAUGGCCAAAUGCCUAAGUACUGUGCCACAUCCGUUGAGGCAGUGCGGGAUUUGUACAACGCAUUUUGGGAGAAAACACCCAAAUCGAACCUCUCAUCACCAUGAUUAUAUGAAUUUAAACUAAAGCUAAAUGCAUCUAUUUGUUACACUUCCACAAUUAUGCCUCUUUCCGUCCCUCCUUAGAAUUGAGAUUUUGAAAUUGAAAUUUCACGUAACAAUUCCAUUUGUAGAAUAAAGCAAAAAACUAACAAGAAAAGUUCAUGAAAGCAAAUAGCCUUGCAAAAUCCACUAAAAUAUCUCCACAUGUGACGAGAUAUUGUCAUCAUUUUGUUUGUUGGAGACCCAACCCGUGACCUUGUACUUUUAACUUUUAAACCUAACCUAAAGCUCCAAAAAUAGUGAUGUUAGUCCUAUGCAAAGUAUCGUUUACUAGGUCGUUACAAAUGGAUUCAUAAAAUUUAGGGUUAAAUAAAGUUGUUUUGACAUAUUUUGAAAAAUUCAUUGACUAAUACACACAAAAAACUUAGAUAAUCUUAAAUUCCAUUUUCGUGACCUUGAAACUCCAAAAAUAAAUAAAUGAUGUCGGUCCUACAGAGACAGACUAUCAUUCACUAAGUUGUCACAAACAUAUACUACUAAGACAUACAAUUUUAAAACGUCAAUUUUAUCUUUAAUAAGAUUAUUUCUAGUCACACAAACAUAUACUACUUACUAGUUCUCGAUAGACACGUGCGUCCCAUAUUAAGUAAUAUAAAUCAUAAUUAAAUUGGAGGUUAAUGAGCAACAAAUAAUAUACAGACAAAAUUACAAUCAAGAUUGAGAAGAAGACUAAAUUCCAAGUCUAAACAUCUCUUAAGAAUAAGAUAGUUUACCGAUGCAUCUAGCUGUAAUAGUUAUUGAUAAUUUGAAAGACUUUUGAUAUUCUAGAAGCGCAUCAACAAAUAUAAUAAGCUAACAGAUGAUAAAUGUAAUUUUUAGUUGAAUAAAAUAAUAGAAAUUUCAUUUGUCGAAAAAUGAUUAUCAAACAAGUCACUAUAGCUAUAAGCUUAUUACACAACAUGAAAACAAUCCAACUCUUUUUUACUCUUGCUAAAGUUAUGAUACAACGUAACAUUCCUACUCUAAAUUGGCUAAACUUGAUAGUUUUUCUAGCACCGUUCCUUUUAAAAUCUGUACCCUUUCAGAAAAUAACUUAUCCCAUGUUAUUUUGGCAAUUUGGAAGCCUUCAAGGUUGAGCUAACAGUUGGAGAAGCUAGACAAUGUCCAGAAAAAUUUAAACUGGAGGUUAAAUUAAAGGAAGAAUACUUCCUUAGCUUUACCUUUAAGUAGUAUCCACCUCUCGAUCAACAAUUUAUCUGGAGAAAUUCCAGUAGAAAUAAGUUUCAAAUAGAUACAAGUUUUUCAAAGAGCUAACAGUUGGAGAAGUUAUAUAGUUAAUAGAGGCUAACUUAUUGUAGACAAUUUAUAUUCCUGCUCAUCAAGAUUGACAACACUUAGCAACUUAAUUAGUUCCAAGAAAAUGGAUAAAAGAUAGGCUCACUCUCAAAAGUUUUAAAAUAAGGCUCAUGAGCAACCCCUUGAAAUGAUCCAACCUUUUUUUUUCUUUCCAAAAUUGUACUUUUAUUGAAAAUAAAACCAGUGCAUAUAGAGGGGUUACAAAAACUUCCCUCACCUACUUAAUGGAUCAAGUCCAUCUAUUAAAAAUAGUAGGAUUUCAAGAUAAGCUUACAAAAAGUUGUAGUAGAGAUAAUACAGUAUCUCAAUCUAAAACAAGAAUUCAAGGUACAUCAAAACUGUAGGUUCUUUCCAAGCUUCUUUCCAUAUAGAUGGUCUUGUAGUUUUGUUUUCUUCUGAAGCAAAGGAAUUCAAGUCUGUCCAUAUUAUAUUCUCCCCUUGCCUCCAUAGGUAGUUGUUGAGGUGUAGAGAACCCAUUCUGUGCAUGUGCAUUCCACUCCAUAAUUUGAUAAUCUAUCAGUGACAUGAUUACCUUCUCUAUAAGUAUGUUGAAUGACAGUAACUUCAAAAUUUUGUAUCGCCCUCUUAAUGUGUUGGAUAUCAUCCCAAAAUGAAAUGAUCCAACCUGAUAUUGAAAACAAUCAAAAUAACAUGAACACAAAUUUAGAAUAUAAAGAAGACACAAAUGAAAGUUGUGAACAAAAUAUAUCCAAUAGUAUAUAUACCUCUGUGGAAAGUGUAUUUGAAGCACACAAAUGACAAAUAGGAUAAUGGACAAACACUUCUAACUAUGAGGAGUAAAAUGUAGAGAUCAUCUUAUUUAAAUGUCCUCGAGUCUCCUAUGUGUCUUAACAAUGGUGAAAGAAUAAUCCUAUUUAUAGGUUGAGGAGUCACUCCAAAAAUCACCAUAUUUAGUGUCAUAAUAAAUAUAAAUACAUUCUUUUCCAAAAAGAACCUAGUAAAUAUUAAUAGAUAGUUCAUGUAUUAACUCAAUGGACAAUUCAUCCAUUCAAUGAAUUUAUAACAAUAACUAAAGAAUUAAAUUGGGAGAAAAACUAAAUUAAGAAAAUUGAAUGGAGAAAUGAAAUGAGGAAAAGAAGUUGACGUUAUCAGAAAUCCGAAAGUCCAUGUUACAUGGAUAUGCUCCAUGUAUGAAAUUAAUUAAAUGAAUUUAAUCAGUAAUAACUAACGAAAAUUAUAAUGUCAUAACUACGGAAUUAAAAUACAAUUGCUAGACUUCUAAUGCAGUAAAUAAAAUAUGUUUAUUUCAUUAAAUUUAUUGGUUAAUUAAAUAUUUAAUUAUAUUUUAAUUUAGUGUGGGAUAAAAUCGUAAUUCAACUUUUAAGUUAUGAUAUAUGAUUUUAAUAUGACUAGUCUCUGAACAUGUGUGUUGCACGUGUGUUCUAUGUGAAUUUUUAUAGAUUCGUUAGAACAAUAAAAAAUUUAUGCAAAUAGUGUGAAGUGAGUAAUAUUUUUUUAAUAUGCGUCAAGAAACACCAAAUGAGGGGCACAUUACAUAUAGAAUCAAUAAGUUAUCCAUAUUCGGAAUUCGGAAGCUACAAGUUUAAAGAGGAAAAACAAGAUCAGGCACAGACCAUGAGAGGGAAGUAAUUGCACUGACAAAUCCUAUAAUUUGCAAAUUAUGUAUAACGAAGUAUGCAUCAUAUUUUUCUCCAGAAUAAGAUAAUACUUAUUUCUGAUAAAAGUAUAGACAAUUUACCAGCGGUGCUUGACUUCAUAUUCAUUGCUAUAUAUAUACUAGUUCUAGAUAAGUGUGUUGCACGUGUAAUCCAUACUAAUCCUUCGCAAGAACAAUUAAAUUAUAAGUCAGUUUUCUGACAACCUUAUUAAUCAUAAAUUGUGAAGACUUGAUUAUUAUGUAGUUGGAAUAAAACAAAAUAAUGUCAUAUCACUAAAUUAUUGAACAAUUAUAAAGGAGACGAUAAUUGUCGCAUGCUUUUGAUCUUGGGUUGGAUAGAAGGCGAGGUUAAAAUUUGUGAAGAUAAAAUGUUCUUAGUUUAAUAGGACUUAUAAUUAUGUAUUAGAGAUCCAAAAUCAAUAGAUGAUUCUUCUCGUUCCUUUAUGACUUAUUUGCAUAUCAUAUUAUUGAAUUAAUCCCCCUUUUAAAUGUAUCCAACAUAUAGAAGUCAAAAGGCAAAUUAUAGAGGCAAGUUCAUUUCUAAGAAAUGAUCAUUAUCAAUAAAUUAGAGAUAUUAUCGAAGAAAACAAAGUCAUAAAGCUCCCACAUUCAUGAUCAUUUUGAAAUAUGUACAUAGUGAUAUCUGUAAGAUUCCUACACAACUGUACUUUAAAAUGUAACGAUGAGUAUAAAAAAAUCAAGAGAAGUUAUAUAUAACAGUAACACAAAUACAAUUUAAGAAAUUAAUUGGACCAGCUUUUCUAUGCUUACCUCCUAGAGAUAGCUAAAUAAAAAGACGAUAAAUAUUGCUACACUAUUAAGUAUUACUGAGAUACCAAAAGCUUGAGAAACUAUCUAUGACGACAAUAUUCUUAGCAUUCCAAACAAAAUUAUCUUAUUCUUUCAUUCAUGUGAGAAGCACAAUAAUUUUUUUAGAAAUAAUAACUAAAUGACUCAUAUUUAAACAUGAAAGCCUGAAUUUUUGUUACAUACCUGGUAAGUUUACGCCUACGAUAUAUUAUAUUGUUUCAUCCAAAUAGUGAGAAUUAGUUAUAUGUUAAAUGUCCAUUUAUAUAAGAUAAAAAUUCAUCAUUAAUUUAUGCUAAUUAUCAUGGAAGGAAAUCAAAAGUUUUGCAACAAUGUUUAUUGUAGCUAUUACUUAGCAUUUAAGAUAAUUUACGAAUAAAAUUCAUUGAAUUUUUCUAUAGUUUGUAUAGGAGUAUUUGAAGAGAUUGUUUUAAAUAUUGCAAAACUUUUGAUUUUCUUCUAUCAUUUAAUAAUACAAAUAUUCAUUCAUGUCAUAAGUUGUGUUUUUAACUUCCGAAAAACUUGAAGUAAUUUUAAUGGGGUUUUCCAUUUUAGAAUAUUAUUAUUAUUAUUAUUAUUAUUAUAAUUAUUAUUAUUAUGUAUUUAUAAAAUUUGUGUAAUAAAAUAAUAAAUCAAAAAUGUAUUUUAAAAUCUAUGUCACUUGAGAAAAUAUUUGUUGUUAUGAUACGGAGACACCAUUUAAAAUUUGAACUUGUAUUGUGUUUACGGUAAAUCAUUACUUUAGUUAUUUAUUUGCUGAAUAGAAAUAAACUCGAAAAAACGGACAACCACAGUUAUCAUCUAGCAAUGAAUACGUGAAGAAAAUCAAUAUCAUAUAGCCCCAUAAUGGUAUAUAGAAAUAUGUUGAUUGAAUUUCAUGCUCUAGAUUACUGUAAAUGCAUGUAAAUACCUCUAACUCUAAAUAUUAAAUUAACUAAGAGAACUGAAAUUUAAAGACAAAAGAAGUCUUGAAAAUUAUCAAAAACUGAUCAACCAGGAUGAAUAAACAUAUUUCUCGACAAAACUUGCUAACAAAGCAAAAUAGAUGUUAAUUUAUCAAUUCAGCCCAAAAGUUACAUUUAUUAAUUCAACCCAAACGUUUAAAUUUGUUGUUUGAUUUUAUAGCUAUUUCUUUUAUAAUAAUAACAUAUCUCAUGAAAUCAGUUUAGGGAGUGUAGGUUGUGCACAGACCUUACCUCAAUUCAAAAGACCCUCAACUUGAGUCGAGUAUAGCAAAUUAGAGUAAAUAUGAAAAAGAAAAAUGACAGUUAAGAGAAUAUAAUAUAAUAUAAUAUAAUAUAACAACUAUUACGAAAACAGUAACAACAACAAAAUGUGCAAUAACCGAAACAUCAUAAAAACAAUUGGUGGUAGAAUGCAAAAGCAAGACAGUACAAGAAUAAAAAGUACUACUACGACAGACACCACUAAGCCUAAACCCUUCGGAAAGCAAGAGAACACUCCACUACAACCUUCUACCUUAAUCGGCGAUCUCCAUGCUUUAAGCAUUUUCUGUAAUUGAUGAAAUCAGAUUCUUUUUUCUUAUGAACUUUGAAAGGCGAAUUAGCUUAUGUAUUUGCCAAUAAUAAUUUUACCUCAUGCACAUGAUAUUUAUAAGCAAAAAGUUUUGCCUAGAAUUCUGUAGAAAGCUCAAAAGUUAUGUUGGAGAAUGAAGAAACAUAAAGUUUGCCUAGAAUUCCGUAGAAAGCUAAAAAUUUAUGUUGAAGAAUGGAGAGACAUUCUUAAAAUGUCUUUUACAACACCUAUUUUGAAUUAAGAUAGGGGCAAAAUAGUAUUUCAACUUUUUCUUUUGUAGCUUCCCACUAUUAGUAUAAUAUAUGAUGAUAUGAUAUAUGAUAUGAUAUUAGACUUUCACUACAAGAAAACUGCGAAUUAUAUGGGUAUUUUUCUGCGGAUUAUAUAUGAAAAUUCGCAGAUAACUUAAUUUCCUGCGAAUUUUUCUACCAAAAUACAUCGAUGAAAAUACCUUCGUAGGUAAUUAUUACCUACGAAUUUGAAAAUCCCCAAAAAAAUUACCUAGGGAUUGGAAUUCUGCAGGUAAAUUACUCACGGAUUUUCUUGCCAAAAAAAAUACUAAAAGUAUCCCAGAAAUUUUGGUAAAAAUUGAUGAAAAAAGGAUUUUCUUACCAAAUUUUUCACAAGUAAAUCCUCAUGAAAAUAUUAUAUUAUAAUAAAUUUAAACCAUUUGUUUAUUUAUGAUAUUCUAAUUUUUUUUUAGUAUUUAUGUUUCUGAUUCUUAUCUUCUUAUUAAUUCUUGUUUUUCUUGUUAUUGAAACCCCACAAGUCCCCCACCCAUACACACAUAUACCGUGCAGAACCACUCAUACUGAGUACAUUCAUCCAAUCGCGGUAGUUGUUCCAGCUUGAGUUCAUUUUGUACCGAUUUUCUUACCUAUAUCAUUAUAAAUAUUAGAUUCUUGAUGUAUUUGUCCAAUGUGGUACAAAACCACAAUUUCUCAGUACUAAAUUAAAGAAUGUUCUAAUAUUUACAUCUCUCUAUUUAUUUAGAUUUAUAAAAACAAACACUAUAUAAUAUGACACAAUUUUAAAUAUAUUUUAUCAACGUUUUUAAUCAAAAUAUAUUAUGUUUUUAGAAUAUGUAUCUUGUAAUAACAAUAAUAACAUACCUAGUAAAAUUAUAUUAAGUGGAGUCUGAAAAGCGUAGAGUGUAUGCAAAUUUUACACUCUAAAUAACAUGAUGCUAUUCCUAUUUUCUAUAAUUACUUAAUAAGAUUAAUAGAAUUUACGUAUUUGAGAAAGUAUUUAUUUUCAAAACUCUAAAUAACAUGAUGUUGUUCCUAUUUUCUAUUAAUAUUUUGACCUCAUAUAUAAAUCCUCUACAAAUAAAACUUUGUCUAAUUAAGUAAAAUAAAAUAAAAAAAUUUGAAGCGAGAAAAUACAAACACACCAAAAUAAAAAUAAGAAAAUUUUAUAUAAUAAAAAUAGUAAUUUAAAUAACUUGUAAGUUUAAAGUGAAAGAAAGUUAUUACCAGUAAUUGGUAGAUCUUAUUAAUUAUUUGUGGUAUUUAUAACUUUAGUUUUUAUUAUUAUAAUUAUAUCUUGACAUACUUAGUUACAAAUACUAUUUACAAAUAAAUAUCAUUUAAUAACUUACUGUAAAGAAAUUAUUAUUUUUAAUACUUGUAAAACAGUUUUAUAACUUGGAUAUACAAGUAAAAAUAAUAGUUAUUUCGUUCGUUUAAUUCAAUUUUGUUAUUGAAUGAGACAAUUAAACUUCACAUUAAUAAUGUAUAUAAUAAUCUAAUGUUUAUCUACUUAAAAAAUGUCUUGACCUAUUCAACACUACACAAUUUAUUUUUUGUAAUAAUAUUAUAUCAACAUUAAUAAUAUUUUAUGAUAAAUAUUUUUAUGUUGGAUAAAUAACUAGCCAUAUAAUUUUUAUAAUUCAUAUAUUCAAAUCCAAAAAUAUUAAUAAGAAUUCGCGUUUUUUUUUAUAGGAUUAAAUUUUUUACAUGUAAAAUAAAAAGAAUUGAAAAAUGUUCAUGGCAUUUAUACAAAUUAAAAAAAAAACAAAAUAUGAUAAAUUCAAUUGUGUCUUUUAGACCUUUUCUUUCCAACACUUCUUUUCUUCUUAACGUUCUAACACCUUGUUAGAGUAAGAUUAUUGUACAACUUUUUUUUUCCUGAAAAUAGAGAGUAAAUAUUUAAUAAUAAAAUUCAUUUUGUCAUGUCAUUAUUAUUUCUUACAUUAUUAUAAUUUUAAUUUUCUUAAACAUGUUUUUAAGAAAAUUUUACUAAUUAGUAAAUCUCCAAAUAAAAGGAGUUUUUAGAUAAAUUUUCAAGAAAAAAAUUUCAGUUAAAAGUGCAAAGAAAUAGUUUUCAAGUAUACAUAUUCCCAAGUAAAUACCCAGAAAAAUUCCCCCACAAAUUCAUAACAUAAAAUUCUCACGUAAAUCCCCAGGUAAGAAAUUUCUCAAGUAAAUUCUCAAUAAAUAAAUUCCCAACAAAAUUUGUAGAAUCUGAAUCUUCAGAUAAUAUUCAUAUAAAAAUAUUCUUAGGUAAAUCUCCAUGCAAGUAUCCCUAGCUAAAUCUGCAAGUAACUUUAUCUAGGGAUUUUCUUGCAAACUAACAUGGAAAAUUAUUUUUUGUUCAUUACUUGCGGAUUUACCUAUGAAAACGGUACCUGCAGAUUAGUUGCCCCAGAUAAUUUCACAGGUAAUAAUUUUGUGAAAAUGGCGCCAAAGUUACCCACCAAUUAUUCUGGGGAAAUAUUUUUCGCAGGUAAAAAGUUCUAGAAUCAAGGAAUUUUAUAUUUUCGCAAGGAAAUUCAUAGGAAAUUUCUGCGAAAAAAAUUCCCAAGUAAAAUCUCUAGGUAAUUUACAUUUUUCUAGUAGUGUUUGGCUUUGGCUUUUGAUUUGGAUUUGGAUUUGGCAAAUGAUGUGAUUGAUUGAUAAUAUUUUUGGACAAAAAUUAUUUAAUCAAUCUCAUAACUGAUUUCCUUUCUCUUAUAAAUUAAUUUAGAAUGUUAGUUAAUUAACAUAAUUAAUUUCGCGUAACAGAAUUAUUUGAAAUUUGCGCGUAACGGUAAAGUCAUUCUGAAGGGAUUUGUUCCUUCCGAAAACAUGUUAUUUUUUCCAAAAGACGCAACGUUCUGGAAAGACAUGUCUAAACAGAUGUGUUCACACCAUUGUCCGAACAGACGCGUUCCUUGCUGCAAGUGGCUAUAAAUAGAGAGCCUUUUUCCGUUUUUCAACACUGAAUUGUUUUCCUCUCUGCAUACAUUUUCUUACAAAAACAAAAUUGUUGAUCGACUGAGUCUCUAUACCAUAAUCGUCUUCAAAACUAUACUAUUUUGAAUGAUCCAAAGAUGUCGAAACGGUUCCAGAGAUCUAGACUUAUCCAAUUGAUUUAUUCUUAUCAUGAGAUUCAACUAGCAACAAAUAAUUUUGAUGGAUUCAAUUUAAUUGGUGAGAGAGACUCUGACUCUGUGAACAAAGGCACAUUAUCUAGUGGAGCUACCGUGGCCAUAAAGGUUCUAGAUUUGGAAAAUAAGCAAGUAUGCGAGAGGUUUGAUAUUUGAAUAUGCGAUCGACAUGAGAAAUGUUAGACACAAAAAUCUUGUUCCGAUGAUUACUACUUGUCCUAAUGACUAUAUAACUUUGUUUCACAAUUUAUGCCCAAUGGAAGUCUUGAGAAUUGACUGUACAAAGAAGAUUGCCACUUGAACCUUUUUCAAAGAGUCACUGUACUGCUUGAUGCGGCUAUGACAAUUGAAUAUCUACAUUCAAAUGACUUCGUUUGAGGCUCUAUAUGGUAUGAUAUGUGAAGUAUCUAAAUACAAAAUCUAACAAUAUCCUUUACCUCAGGAGGUGGUUAGCAUUUUUCAAGUUUUUGGCAAAGACCGAUUUCUAGAGAUCAAUUUUGUUAAAAGAAAAAAAAAAUUAACACGUUGUUUUCCCCUAUUGAGGUUGUUUUUAGUAGUGAUUUCAUGUUUUUUAGGUUCAAUCAUGAUACAAUUAUUAAAUAAAUAUAUUUUUAUUGAUAAAUGUUUGAUUCAAUGAACUAAAAAUGAGAUAUAGAGGAUAUAAUAUAUACCUUGUAUUUAAUUUAAACCAAAUGUUUUUUUUUUUCAAUUUUAACCUUGCAUGUUUUGAAAAAGCUUUGAGGAAAAUAUUUGAAAGACAAGAAUGUUAUCUAUUAUUUUGUACCAGGAUUGUUAUUACGUACGAAAUAUGGUACUCCCUCCGUCCCAUUUUAUGUGGCAACAUUUCCUUUUUGGUCAGUCCCAAAAAGAAUGUCACUUUCCUUAUAUGGUAAGUAUUUAAAGGUGCAAUUCCUCUUUUAUCCUUGUUGGUCCCACUUAAUCUUAAAAUAAUACUCCAAUACAUUUAUGAGGAGAGAGAAAAGUGAGUGUACUUUUUAAAGGGCAAUUUGGUAAACAUUUCAAGGUCUUCAUUUAUUUCUUAAACUCCGUGCCCGGUCAAAUGUUGCCACAUAAAAUGGGACGGAGGGAGUACUUAUUUUGUCUCAAAAUAUCUGCUGUGUUUCAUUUUUCACAGACAGACAGACUACUUGAAUUUUAAUUAAUUUUUAAAAUAUUUUUCAUUAUAAUGAUACAAGAAAAAUUACAGAUUAUAAUAUUUUUUGUAUAUUUUAAAAAAAAUUUAAUUUUAAAUUGAUUUAAUCUAAUAUUAGCUUAAAAAUUGAUCAAAUUAAGUCACGAAAAAUAAAAAGUGACAACUAUUAUUGGACACAUGGAGUAUUAUGAUAUAGAAAUACUAGAUACAACAGCUCACGCUAGCACAUACUCAAUAUAUGUUAUUUAGUUGUACCAAUUUAUGUAACUCAAAUAAAUUUGGAUAGUCAAUCAAAUUUUUAAUACGAUUUUUAGAUUUUUUAAGCUGUUAAUCAUGUGAUUUGUAGUACAUUUUAUAUAAUUUUGAAAUAAUAUAUGUUACUAUCCCUGUUUCAAUUUAUGUGUCACUGAUAGAAUUUUGAUCAAUUAAAUUUUUUAUACGAUCUUUUAAAUUUAUAUGUUGUUAAUUAUUGUGAUUUAUAGUAUUUCAUCAUUUUAAAUAACAUAUGUUACUUCCUAUAUUCCAACUUACAUGACAGUGAUAGAAUUUCAAAAGUCACCCAAACUUUUUGUAUGUCUUUAAAAUAUUUUAAAUUGCUAAUUAUAUAAAACAAUUCUAAAAUUGCUAAUCUUAAAGUUAAUAUUUCUACUAAAACUAAAUAUGAAACAAUCUCACAUUUUAUUAUGAGAUUAUAAUUCAAUUGUAGACAAACGACCGCUAAGGCUCAAUAACAUUGUCGGAUGCAGGUUGUCGAUAGACAACUGUCUGCGUCUGGUCGCUUCCGGACGCUUCUAAUACUAAAGUAAUUACCACGAUUAUAAUAUAAAACAAUUCUAAAAUUGUUAUAUUUCCACUAAAAGUAAAUAUGAAAUAAUCUCAUGUUAUAUUAUGAGAUUAUAAUAAAAUUAUAACCAAAUCACCGCUAAGACUUUGAAAUAACCUCGCCAGAUAUCGAUAUAUCGACAUAUAGCUGUCUGAUCGCUUCUAAUAGUAAAGUAAUUACCACAAUUAUAACAUAAAAUAAUUCUAAAAUUGCUAAUUUUAUAGUUAAUAUUUUUACCAGAAGUAAAUAUAAAAUAAUCUCAUAUUUUAUUAUGAAAUCAUAAUUAAAUUGUAAACAAAUCGCUGCUAAGACUUUAAAAUAACCUACUUAACGGACAACUAACAGUUUGUGACCACUUUUAUCAAUGGAAAAGUAAUUACCACAAUUUAUAAUAUAAAAACAAUUCUUAAAUUACUAAUCUCAAAGUUAAAAUUUCUACCGAAAAUAAAUACUAUAAAAUAAUAGUUUUUUUAUUUUUUUAUUAUAAAUUAUAAAAUCCAAUUUAACCAAGUCAUCGUUAACUAACCAGAGGGGAUACUGACCAUCUUUUCCACAUCAAAAUGCGCCGUUCCGUUAAAUUCUUCCUUUGUAAGCCUCUCUAACGACGUCGUAUGACUGUCCCAACUCCAACUCUAACUCAGAUUCCCAGCCUCAGCUCCGGAGAAGCUAAAAAUAAGUGAAGCCCUUUUCAUUUCUUAUAUAUAUUUAACUGUUUUCAUUUCUUUGAUGAUAUUAAAAAUAAGCUAAAAAUUAGUUAGUACACAUAUUUGAUGAUAUUAAAACUUACUGUUUUCAUUUCUUUCUCGCUUUAAAUUUUUUAUUUUUUUUCUUUCAUUAAUUUCUUAUCUUUUCACUUUUAAUUAUUUUAAAAAAGUUAUGUGUAUUAAAAAAAAUUAAUACAAGAUAAAGAAAAUAAGAAUUUUUUUUUUUUAAAAAAAAAUAAAUAGAAUUAAGAAAAAAUUUAAAAUCAAAAACAUAUUUACACACAUGACAAGUACGUGUGUACAAACACAAUCAAUUUCGAUGGUUGAAGAUGUCACGUCAGCAUAAAAGAUGCACAAAAAUAUGAAAAAAUGAAUUCGAAAAUAAUAGAACCCUAAUUAAGAGAGUGUCUCUAAGAUUUGAUAAUAGUCUAAGCGAAAUUUAUGCCUUAUCCCAAAAUAUAUUUAGACCUUUUGUGACAAUUGAGGAACACUUUUUCCUUUUCCAUUUAAACGAGUUAAACGUGUUAGCUAAUUGAUGCCUUUUCCUGCGAGAGCACAAUAAUGCUUCUCAAUUAUUUAUGCAGACAGUAAUAGUACAACACCACAUGGUUAAAGUAAAAUCUUUGUUGACCCUAAAUAAAAAUGACGCAUUUCUAUGACUAAUACUUUUUUCUGUUUUAAAAUAAUUAAACUAUUGAGAUAUUUUUUAUAUUUUAAAUUAAUUUAAUUGUUCAAUUUUCAAGAUUAUAUUUUUGAAUAUUCUUCCAUUUUUAUCUAUCAUUUAGAUUUUCUAUAAAGAAACUUUAAUUGUUUUGAAUUAUUCUAAAGAUCAAUUUGACAAUAAUUAAUAAGGAAAAAAAUGGAAAGUAAUGUCUAAUUUAUGUCUUAAUAUUCUUUUCUUAAAGGGGUAUGAAACAUUCCAACAAUUCAAUUAUUUUGAAAUGGAAGGAGUAAUAAUUAAAUUUUAAAAUGUCAAUUUUAUCUUUAGUGAGAUUAUUUCAAGUCACACAAACAAAUACGGUUUGACAUAUUUCAAAAAAAAAAAUCAUGGAUAUAUACACAUGUAAAAUUUAGAUAAUUUUGAAUAUCUACAUCAUGGUCAUGUCACUCCAAUAGUUCAUUGCGAUCUAGAGCCAGUCAACGUUCGUUUGGAUGAAGAUAUGGUGGCUCAUGUUGGUGAUUUUGGCAUCUCUAAAAUUUUAGCCGUAAGCAAGUCCAUGGCACAUACCGAGACAUUGGGAACUCUUGGAUACAUUGCACCAGGUAUACUAAAAUUAUAACCUUUCUAUUUGAUUUUUCUCUUAUCAAAAUCAAGCCCUUGAAAAUUCUAGGACUAAAUAAAAAGCAAGUCUUUGUAAUUAGUACGAGCAUUAUUGUUAUAUCCAAAUGAGUAAUUCUUUUUCAUUUUUGUUCUUUUAAGAAUAUGGCUCAGAAGGAAUAGUGUCCGCUAGUGGUAAUGUUUACGGUUACAACAUCAUGUUGAUGGAGGUUUUGACCAAAAGAAGAGAUAUGCAAUGAAAAUCUUGACUUGAGGAAAUAGAUAAUACAAUCAUUUUCAGGAAGUAUGAUGGACAUUGCCAACUUUUUUCCUGAGGAAGAACAAAUCCCUAGUAAAAGUGAAAUCUACAUAGCCUCCAUGAUAAAUUGGCUUAGACUGCACAAAGGAGACGCCAAAAACCAGAAUAAGCAUGAAAGAAGUAGUGAAGAUCAGGCUUAAAAAAAUCAAGAACACAUUUCUCGAAACAUAACACUCUCAAAUCUCAAUUCAGGAUGUAAAAUAAAACAUUCUGAUUCUUUAUGCCACGUAAUUUGCAAUUUGUGCAAUAUUUAGGCACAUAGUCGUAUCUGUUGAUCCAUGUUGAUACAAUUUCUCCAGAAUUAGCCUUUUUUAUUCCAACAUUAAUCCUUUUCGAAAAAUCUCUUAACAAAUCUACAUCAACUUUGACCUUGGCACAACUAGGUCUAGAUUUAUUCUUCGUUGCCAUGUCCACGUGAAGGGGUUUUCCUACUGCUCUUGCCAUGGAGAAUAGAGAUUCCUCGACAAAUUUUUUUUGGUGAUAGUCCAGGGAAUGAUAUCCAAGCUAGAGCCGUAGUUGUCUCUGUCUCCGGAUUAAACCAAGGUUCCCAUUUGAGAAGCCUCAUCUGGUAAAAACCAUCCUUCGUGCGAAGAAAAUGUGCAGGUUAUGAAAGGUGGGGCGUAAGGCGGGACGUUUUACUUAGCAUAAGGCGAGGUGUAAGCCCUGAGAUAUGGGGAAUAAGUCUCAUGGAUAAUUAAAUUUAUAAUUUAUAAUAUAGUGUAAUAAUAUAAUAACACAAAAUCAUAAAACUACAUCAAAAAAUAGUUUGAAAUAAUUACAAACAUGAUUAAGGAAACUUAUAGAAAAUAAAUCUUCUAACAUGAUAAUACAAGUAUAAAUAAUGUACGUAAUGAUAUAAAAAUUAUUAUGAGAUGCAAAUCAUCUCUAAUAUCUUAACUUUCUAAUAGUAAAACAGCCAUUAUUUCUAAAAAUACUAUAUAAUUUACCCCUAAAGAAAAUAACCAAUAAAUAGUAUUAUAAUAAAAAAAUCAGUACGAAUACAAAUAAAAUUACUUUCAAAUAGCUAAAUAAUAAAAUAUGAUAAUUUUGAGACACAUGACAGAAACAUGAAGACCAAUUAUAAGUGAAAAAGUAAAAUUUUGCUAUAUAUUUUAGAAAGAAAUGUUACAUAAUAUAUAAUCACACUCAUUGUUAGAACCAUCAAUAUGGGCUAGGCCCGUUGGGCUGGCCUAGCCUAACCUAACCCGUGAUUUAAUUGGGCUGAGCUAAGAUUUUUUAAGCUUAUUUAAGAAAAAAGUUUUUUAGUCCGGCUUGAUAAAGCCUGUUGAUUUGUGGGACUUGAGAAAUAUAAUGAUAUUUUUUUUAUUUAUAAUUUGAUUUAAAAAAUUAUUAAAGUAUACUUUUAAAAAAAAGUGCGCUGGUCUGGCAUAGCCCGUAUCCCACGUACUUGUGGGUUGGGCUGACCAUUUUCUGGCCCACAAGAAAGAUGAGUCAGCAUAACCCAGCCCGUCAAAUUUCAAAGCACGUAUGAGUUAGCCCGAAUGGGGUGGGCCACAGUGUUACCAAUUAGUAAAAAUGCAAUACUACAACUUGUUAUUUGAGUUACUCUCAAUCUUCUUAUUUGUAUAUAUAGAUUAAAAACUAUUACGUAUCAUUUAUUUAUUCUAGAAUUAUGAGGGUCAACAAUGUUAAUUAAAGAAUUUAACACGUAAUUUUUUGUAAGAUAUAUGAGAUGAGCUCCGAUUAUUGGACGUUGAAAUGUACAGUCGCUUAGGACGUAAGUGUUACAAAACUAAGCUCCACACUUGAGUCUUGGGCCAUUUUGCUGGCAAGUCCUAACAGAGUCUUUUAAAACACUGGAUGGAGGGAGUAAUAAUUUUGAUUCUUUUUCUUUAGUGAGUUUACUUCUCUACUAGUAGUAUAUAUAUACCUCUUAUUUCAGUAGAAUUUCAUAAGAACUCAACAGAAGAACAAUGGAUGUUAAGCUUGGUUUUUGUGUACUUGUCUCCCUAGUUCUGCUGGUAAUUUUGAUAUUCUCCUCCAUCUUAGUUAGUACAAUUAAUUAGUACUUAAUUAUAAAUAUAUGUUGCUGAUCACUUCAUAAUAUAUAUGUCAGGUUGCUUAUGGAACAGAAGCUAGGGAUAUGGCUGAAGGAAAUUCUCAAUCCCUUACGAGACUGUUUCUUACAUAUAAAAAUGGAGGUGAAGGGAAUGAACAUAUGGCUGAAGGAAAUUCCCAAUCCCUUACGAGACUGUAUGUUAGAUAUAAAUAUGGAGGUGAAGAGCCAAAACAGAAUGAACAUAUGACUCAAGGAAUUUUUUUCCUUAUGGAUGAUCUAAAGUUGGGGAAAACAUUAACUCACUCCUUUCCAACAAUGGAUCUUCCUUCUUCUCUACAAAUGUUACCCAAAAAAGUUCCAUUUUCAUUGAAGGAAGCAAAAUCCAUGGAAGAAACAUUAAGACUAUGUGAAGAUUCACCCAUGAAGGGAGAGACUAAGUACUGUGCCACAUCUAUUGAGGCAAUGCGCGAUUUUGUACAAGGCAUUUUGGGAGAAAACACCCAAAUCGAACCUCUCAUCACUAUGACGACGACUAGUACUGAUCCCCUGAACCAUAAUCGUCUUCAAAACUAUACAAUUUUGAAUGAUCCAGAAGAUGUUGGAGCUACUAAGAUGGUGGCGUGUCAUACUAUGCGUAGCGUUUACUACUGUCAUCACACAAUUAGCAAAAGCAAGGUGUUGAAGGUUGAAUUAAGGAAUGAUGCAAAUGGUAGUGAUAAAAUUGAAGCAAUUGCAGUUUGUCAUUUGGAUACCUCUGAUUGGAAUCCAUCCCAUCUAUCCUUUCGAGUGCUCGGUAUAUUACCAGGAACAUCACCUAUCUGUCACUUUUUCCCAUCAAGUAAUGAUCUAGUCUGGAUUCCAAAAUCAGUUGCAGCGCUUUAAUUUUAAGGAUUCAUCGGAGCAGAUAGCUACCUAGUUAUUGCUUAUGCGUCUAGACGUACGCAAAAUAAUGUGUUUUAAUUUAGUGGAGAUCUGCUCUGAUGCCUACUCCUAUCUUUAUUUGUUAUGUUGCAUGUCUGGUAAAACUCUUAUGUUUGUUUUUCCCAUAAAUGUGUUGAGUAUGCUUUUGAUGAUAUAAUUAUGUAUCAUUUUCCCCAAAUAUAGUCGACUGCGUCAAUUUUCAUCAACAACGCCUUGAUUUACUCUUAAAAGCUAAGUCACAUGGAUCGAUGAGCAUCCCCAGCUUUCUUGACGAUGAAAAAUGUUCGGUUCUAUGGUUAGAUGGGUGAGUGGAAUAAUUAAUUUGGCAGAAUUUUUUUUAAAUGUAAUAAAUAUAGUAUCCAUAAAUAUUAUAUCCAUCUUAGUGUGAAACAUAGGAUGAUAAAAGUGGUGAUAUUUAACUAAGUUAUAUUAACAAGUAUUGUUUAAUAUAGUUAACCCGAUAUUUAAUUCUAAAAGGUUGUAAUUAAGCUAUAGGCCAUGUAACAUUUGAAUAUGCAAUUACAAUUAUAUAUAUAUAUAUAUAUAAUGAUUAUAUGAAUUUAAACUAAAGCUAAAUGCAUCAAUUUGUUACACUUUCACAAUAAAAACAAAUUAGGUCUAUAUAUUUCUCUUUCAAUCCCUCCUUUGAAUUAAGAUUUUGAAAUUGAAAUUUCAUAUGGUAACAAUUCCAUUUGUAGAAUAAAACAAAAAAUAACAAGAAAAGUUCAUGAAAGUAAAUAGCCUUAUUGCCAUCAUUUUGUUUGUUGGAGACCCAACCCGUGACCUUAUCCUUUUGAGCUUUUAAAUCUAACCUAAAACUCCAAAAAUAGUUAUGUCAGUCCUUUGCAUAGUAUCGUUCACUAGCUAGGUCGUUUCGAAUGGAUUCAUAAUUUGGGGUUAAAUAGAGUUGUUUUGACAUAUUUUGAAAAAUUUAUAGAUUAUAAUAUACACAAAAAACUUAGAUAAUCUUAAAUUUCAUUUUCGUGACCUUCAAAGUCCAAAAGAAUAAAUGAUGUCGGUCUUGCAGAGAUAGACGAUCAUUCACUAAGUCGUCACAAAUGGGCUCACAAAAUUUGGGAAACAGAGUCAGUCAAUCUCAAUUCGUAAAAUUCAUAGUCUAGUACCUAUGAAAAACUCAAAUAAUCCUUAAUUCAUGCUCCGUGAGUGGUUUUCUCUUUCUAGAUGUGUCACGAAAUCCUAUAUUGGAGGUUCCCGCUUGCCCUAUCACUAAUCCUAGACGACAAUAAGUCUCUAAGAAACUUGUGCUAAAAUUUAUUACUCCAAUGAUUAUACCAUUCUUUAUGAUAUUCUUGUCCGUCUCAAUUUGGAUAAUGAAAUGAAAGAAGAAAGGGAAGUCCAAAGAUGUUGAAAAGGUUCCAAAGAUCAAGACUUAUCCAAUUGAUUUAUUCUUAUCAUGAGAUUCAACUAGCAAUAAUAAUUUUGAUGGAUCCAAUUUAAUUGGUGAGAGAGACUCUGAACGAGUACAAAGGAACAUUAUCUAGUGGAGCUACGGUGACCAUAAAGGUUCUAGAUUUGGAAAAUGAGGAAGUAUGCGAGAGGUUUGAUAUUGAAUAUGCAACAUGAGGUUGUUUUUAGUAGUGAUUUCAUGUUUUUAGGUGGGCUAAGUAAAUAAAAAAUGUAACCAUAUACUCCCUCUGUCCCAAUUUAUAUAACUUACUUUCCUUUUUAGUCAGUCCCAAAAAGAAUGACACAUUUCUAUUUUAAGUAACAAUUUGCCUAUAAAAUGUCUUUUUUACCCUUAAUGAAAUGAUUUACAACCACACAAAAUUUCUAUCAUUCAUUUUGGACCACAAGUUUUAAAAGUCUUCCCAUUUUUCUUAAAGUUUGUGCCAAAUCAAAGUACAUCAUAUAAAAUGGGACGGAGGGAGUAGUAUUUUUAGCAAAAUAAAUUGAUAGAAAAGUAUAUUAAAACCUUUUGUGACAAUCGAGGAACAUUUCUUCCCUUUUCCAUUUAGGGUGUGUUUGGUAUGAAAGGAAAUGUUUUCCAUGGAAAAUGUUUUCUGGAAAACAAAUUGAUUUUUGACUUAUUUUCUCAUGUUUGGUUGGUGAGUAGAAAAUAUUUUUCGAAAAAGAUUUUUAGUAUUUGAGUUAUGAAUGAAAAAUAUUUUUGAGAAAUAUCUUUUAUUUUUACUAGAGUAGAAAAUAAUUUUUGAAAUUGAAAAUANNNNNNNNNNNNNNNNNNNNNNNNNNNNNNNNNNNNNNNNNNNNNNNNNNNNNNNNNNNNNNNNNNNNNNNNNNNNNNNNNNNNNNNNNNNNNNNNNNNNNNNNNNNNNNNNNNNNNNNNNNNNNNNNNNNNNNNNNNNNNNNNNNNNNNNNNNNNNNNNNNNNNNNNNNNNNNNNNNNNNNNNNNNNNNNNNNNNNNNNNNNNNNNNNNNNNNNNNNNNNNNNNNNNNNNNNNNNNNNNNNNNNNNNNNNNNNNNNNNNNNNNNNNNNNNNNNNNNNNNNNNNNNNNNNNNNNNNNNNNNNNNNNNNNNNNNNNNNNNNNNNNNNNNNNNNNNNNNNNNNNNNNNNNNNNNNNNNNNNNNNNNNNNNNNNNNNNNNNNNNNNNNNNNNNNNNNNNNNNNNNNNNNNNNNNNNNNNNNNNNNNNNNNNNNNNNNNNNNNNNNNNNNNNNNNNNNNNNNNNNNNNNNNNNNNNNNNNNNNNNNNNNNNNNNNNNNNNNNNNNNNNNNNNNNNNNNNNNNNNNNNNNNNNNNNNNNNNNNNNNNNNNNNNNNNNNNNNNNNNNNNNNNNNNNNNNNNNNNNNNNNNNNNNNNNNNNNNNNNNNNNNNNNNNNNNNNNNNNNNNNNNNNNNNNNNNNNNNNNNNNNNNNNNNNNNNNNNNNNNNNNNNNNNNNNNNNNNNNNNNNNNNNNNNNNNNNNNNNNNNNNNNNAAAUUAGAAAUAUCUUUUAAAAAUAAUUUUUAAUAUUUUUUUGGGAGGGGGUGGGGGUAGGGGUGAGGGUGGGGUAAAAAAAUUGAAUUUAAAAACAAGCUUUAAAAUUAUUUUUUUUUGGGGGGCGGGGGGGCGGUUGGGGGCAAGUUUGAGGGUAGGAACAAAAUAAAUUGAUCUUUUCAACAAAAAAGUAAUUGUAAUUUGAAGUUGGAAGAGAGUUUUGGAAAAUGUUUUCCAUAAGUUUUGAAGGGAAGUCAUUUUCCUUAAAUUUAAGGAAAAUGAGUUGAUUUGGAAAACAUUUAACCCAACCAAACACGAGAAAAUUAGAAAACAUUUUCCCUUCAUACCAAACACACCCUUAAACGAGUUAAACGUGGUAGCUAAUUGAUGCCUUUUCCUAUGAAAGCACAUAAUGCUUCUCAAUUAUUUGUGCAGACAGUAAUAGUACAACUACAACACCACAUGGUUAAAGUAAAAUUUGUGUCGUUCCUAAAAAAAAUAAAAUGAUGUAUUUCUAUCUUUAAUGUUUUUUCUAUUUCAAAACAAUUGAAUUAUUGAAACCUUUUUUACAUUUCAACUCAAUUUAAUUAUUCAAUCUUCAAGACUAUUUUUAAAAUAUUCUUCUAUUUUUACCCUUCAUUUAAAUUUUUUAUGUGAUGAGUUUAAGAAACUUUAAUUGCUUUGAAUUAUUCUAAAGAUUAAUUUGACAACAAUUAAUAAGGGUAAAAAUGGAAAGCAAUGUCUAAUGUAUGUUCUAAUCUUCUUUUCUUAAAGGGUGUGAAACACGGCAAUUCAAUUAUUUUGAAAUUGAGGGAGCAAUAAUUAAAUUUUAAUGUCAAUUUUAUCUGAAUUUAAACUAAAGCUAAAUGCAUCUAUUUGUUACACUUCCACAAUAAAAACAAAUUAGGUCUAUGUCUCUUUCAAUCCCUCAUUAGAAUUGAGUUAGAAUGCAACAAAAACCUUAUAAGAAAAGCAGUGAUCUUUUUUUCUCUUAUUUUCAUGAUGAAAAAGCAAAUAGCCCUUAUGUCAAACAAAAUCAACUAAAAUCUAUCCAUAUGUGAUAUGAGAUAUUAUUGCCAUCAUUUUGUUUGUUGGAGACCCAACCCGUGAGCUUGUCCUUUCGAGCUUUAAUUCAAACCUAACCUAAAACUCCAAAAGCAGUGGUGUCACCCGAGACAAUGAAUAUCGUUCACUAGGUCAUUUUGAAUUGAAUCAUAAAAUUUGGGGUAAAUAGUUGGUUUGACAUAUUUCAAAAAAUUCAUGGAUUAUUACACAUGAAAAAUUUAGAUAAUCUUGAAUUCCAUUUUUGUGACCCUGAAACUCCAAAAAAAAGUGAUGUCGAUUUUGCAAAGACAAAGAGUAUCGUUCACUAGGUUGUGAUGAAUGGACUCACAAAAUUUAGGAUCAAACGGAGUCAGUCAGUCCUAUACCAAAAAAUUCACAGACUUCUAAUAUAUACGAAAAGCUGAGAUAAUCCUUAAUUCAUGCUUCGUGACUCAAAAACUCCAAAAAAGUGAUGUUGGUUCUUGAGAAUUAGUGAGUGUUGUUUACUAGAUUGUUUUGAAUGGACUCACAAAAUAUGGGGUCAAAUGGAAUUCGUAAGUCAUAUUGCAAAAAAUUCACAAACUAAUAAACAAAAAAAGCUAAGAUAAUCGUGAAUUCGUGUUUCGUGAUCCUGAAACUCCAAAGAAAGUUAUGUCAGUUCUGUAGACCUACUGAACAAUAUUGUUGAGUUUGUUUUUAAAUAUUGUAGUCAUUUUUAGCAUAAUAAAUUACCAAACUUUAGGAUACAUUUGAAUUUUAAAUAUUUGUUAGGUUGUUUUAAUUAUUGAGAUUAUUUAGUCUUUUUUGAAUUUUUGUUAGGCAAAUUUCUGCUUAUGUUAUCAAGUUGACUAUUUAUAGUUCUAUUAUGCUUAAUAAAAAUAUUAUUAGAUAUUUCGAUCAAUUCUUUUUACUGCCCCAUUUUUAAAAAAGGCAUAAUACAUAUAUUGGACCUUAAACUUGGCUUCAAAUUUUAACUUUGACCUCCAACUUUCAAAGUGCACAAAUAGACACUUUAACUAUCCAACCUUAUAAUAAAUAAACACGCGUGUCUUACCUGGUAAAACGCGUGAUGUGCACGCAUUUUGCGCGAGUGAGAAGUAAUUUUUGAGGCACACAACAGUGAAAAAAAUGCUGAAAUGACAACUUUACCCUUAAUUAAUUUUUAUUUAUUUUUUAGUUCUAAAAUGGACGUGUAAAGUGUUUAAUUAGUUGGCAGCCAUUGAGUGGCUCGCUAAUACACGUGGCAGCGUUUGCAUUUCACGCUCUUGGCUCCAAAAAUCGCGUGUUUAUUUAUUAAAAGAUUGGAUAGUUAAAGUGCUUGUUUGUGCACUAUGAAAGUUGGAGGUCAAAGUUAAAAUUGAAGCCAAGUUUAAGGUCAAAUAUAUGUAUUAUCCCUUUAAAAAAUGCCAAUAGUGGUAUCAAGAGAUUCAUUGACCUUACAGGAUCUAUGAAAUUUUUCAAAGAACUACCAUACUACUUUUAACCCGCAAGGGCUAUUUUUCAAUCCUUUUAACUCAUCAGGGCUACCCAUUUAAACCAGUCAGGGCUAUUAUUUUCAAUCCAUGCCUUUUUCAACGUACAGACUUUUCUAAACUAAUUUUUAACCAAAAAUAAAAGCAACAGUCUCUCUUUGAAUGCCCCAAAAAUUUUCACCGGUAAAAACUAUCAGAUUGAUCAGUGAAAAUGAAAUCAUAUCUUGAAGCCUAUGAUCUGUGGGAAGUUGUAAUGAAAGAUAUACCCUUACAACCUCUCCCUGCAAAUUCUAUCCUUGCUCAAAUUAAAUCUCAUUCAGAUGAAAAACCCAAAAAAUUCAGAGCACAAUUGUAAUCCAAAAUUUAGUUGCUAAUUCGAUUUUUCCAAAAUCAUUGCUUGUGAGAUGGCAAAAGAAACUUGGAAAAAUUAAAAAAUCGAGUCAGACAAAUGCAAAUUUUGAAUUUGAAAAGAGAUUUUGAAUCUCUUAGGAUGCAAGAGGAUAAAACUAUUGUAAAAUAUUCUGAUGAGUUUACUUUGAUUGUUAAUAAAAUCAGGUUGCUUGACGAAAAUUUCAAAGAUGACAGAAUAAUAGAAAAAAUUUCAAAAGAAUUCCGUAGAGAUUCAAGUCUAAAAUUUCAUCUCUAUGAGAGUUUAAAGAUUUCUCUACUAUCGGUGUUGAAGAACUAAUAAGUGUUCUUCAAGCACAAGAGCAAAGAAGAGCCUUCAUGCAAGAUAAUGUUACUGAGGGUGCUUUUUAUGCACAAAACAGAAAAGAAAAAUAUAAUUAUUCUCUUUGCAAAUACCGCAAAAGAAAACACACUUGAAAUUUUUUUGUUGGUGGAGACCUAAUACAAUAUGUGAAAAUUGCCAACAAGCAGACAUGUUAUAAAAGUGUGGAAGCUUAUAAACAAAUCCUCAAGCAAAGGCAAAGCAAAAAUUAAGGAGGAGAAACUUUUUUUAAUUGCAGUACCUAAAGUAAAGGAGGAGUAAAAGUUUGUUUUUAGUUACUGCAGUCAUUUUUUAGCACAAUAAGUUACCUAGCUUUAGGAUGAAUUUGAAUUUUAAAUAUUUGUUAGAUUGUUUUAGUUGUUGAGAUUAUUCAGUCUUUUUUUAAAUUUUGUUAUGCAAAUUUUAUUCAUUAUGCUAUCAAGUUGGUUAUUUAAUACCUAGUGUGCUUAAUAUAAAUAUUGAGAGAUAUUUCAUUCAAUAUUUUUUGCUGUCCAUUUUUUAAAAACACCAAUAGAUACUUAUACUUAACUAAAAAAAUAUAUUUACUGGUGAUUACUUAAAUAUAAUAUUAUUUACAUGAUGAGGUUUAUGAACCACUCUAUUUCAGAGUUUGUGUUUUUUCAUACAUAUUUAUUUAAACCUCGUUCAAACUUUAGUGAAGGAACUUGCGUUUAUUUGUGGUACAACACAUGGGCCAAUUUUGUAGAUGAGCAGACUACAGACUAAACAUCUCUCUCUAUAUAUAUAAUUUGUACAGUGAUAAGAAAGUUCGUAGACACAUUUAAUACAAAUUUUCAGAAUGUUUACUUGAAUUUGAGAUCCAAAUAUUAUACUCCUUCUAUCUCAAUUUAUGUGAUACUUUUCAGUUUUUGAGAGUCAAAUAAUUUAAGUUUGACCGAAAAUUUGUGCAUGAAAUUUUCAAUUUUUUUGUAAUGAAAUUUAUAGAUUUGUAAACUACAUAAAAAGUAUUAUAAGUUACAAUAAUUAUAAUUCAAAAUGUUUAAAAGAUCUAAGUUACGAUCGAAUAAUUGUUUGAAUCUCGAUAUCCGAAAAGUGCAUCAUAAAAUGGGACGAUUGGCUAUUUUUCUGGUGUCUGGUGUGCCUACGUUAGCGAGAGGUUGUUCGCUAUAGCAAGCCUCGCUUUCACGAACACUUGACCACUGUCGUAACCUUCGCUUUAGCAAAGACCGGGUAGCGAAAGCGAUAUGCCACAUUUUGCGGAGUUCGCUUAAGCGUAUCAGGGCUCACUUUAGCGAUGAUCGGGAAGGCCCUUGUUUGCGAAAGUGAGACCCCCAUUUUAAGCAGGAUCUGCUUAAGCACUUGCGUUCGCUUAAGUGACUUCAGAGAGGUGUUUUGGCUUGCCAUUUCAGGGUUUUACCCCAUUUUGAGUUUUAGAAAACCCUUGGAGACAAUUUUAAAGAGAUCUCUUGUGCAAAAUCAUUUGGGUAAGUCUUUGUGACCCUAAAACUUCGAUUCUCUUUUAUCAUUUGUGGAUUUUAACAUUAAAAAAUGGGAUUUUUGAUUGACAAGGUUUUCAAGAACUUGAGUUCUAAAGUAAAAUGGUGAUUGUGAACUGAUUUUUUUUUCCGAAAUGGUUUCACCAAUGAAUUCCAAAUGCCUUGAGUAACGUUUUCAAAUAAAGAUUUUCGGAUCCUCAUUCUGAAAUUGAAUUUUUGAGUCGAUUUGACCCAUUUUUCAAAGUGUAUGAUAUGAGUGUUAUUAUUUUGAGAAAAGACAUAAAGUCACCACUGAAGUUGUCCCGAAUUUUCGAAAAGACACCUUAACUUUGUAGGUGUCCUAUUACCCCAUUGAACAACUUCAAAAUAGUAUGUAUACCCCAUUUUUCACCCAAUACCACUUAUACCAAAAUGUUUGUAUGUUACGCACUAAUAGUCACUUGCCAUGUGUUAAAAAUAAUUUUAAAAUAUUUUUAUCUGAUUUCUUUGCUUUUGUUUUCUUUUUUUCUGUUUUCUCUUUCUUCUUCGCCUCAACUCUGUUCUUCUGCCAUUCCCUUCCCGCUGCAACAGUUGUCAAAUCCGUUGUGGUGGGGCGGAUUUCGCGGCAGCACUACAAAUUAUUUGUCAAACUACCACCAAUUAAUUUAUUUAUGAAAAUAAACAUCGUCAAAUAAUCAAAAUUUAAAUACUCAAAAUAUCACCAAGUCAAAAUCUGACAUUUAAAUCACCACCUUCUCCAACUUCUUACUCCUAAAUCGAGUUUUCCAUAGUUGAACUACUCCCAAAUCCCAAUCUUGAUUUGUAGGAGGAAAAAAAUCACUAAACUAAUGUGUUUUUCAAAAAAAAAAAAGAAUAAGAAUGAACACAAUUAACAUUAGUUUUAAAAAAACAAAAACCAAAAAGGAAAAAGAGAAAAAGAAAAUUUUUUGAAGGAAGCCAUGGAUGCUCAAGAAAUAUGCAUAAUCUAAUGAUGGUAGGGAAGAUGAGAAAAAGAUUUGAAAAUUAAAACUAUUCCUAAUAAAGUUAAAAAAAAAUUAAUACAUGAGUUUUUAUAUUUUUUCAAAAUAAGUCAAAUUGGGAGUGCCACAUGGCAAUUUUAUGUUGGUAUGAAGCUGUAUCAAGAGUCCUUCACACGCCUAUAUUUUGUGACAACACAAGUGAUGUUAAAAUUAGUCAAAAAGGUAUAUUUAUUGUGGAUUUAGAUAUAUAGUUUCGUGGGGUACUAGGACACUCGCAAAGUUAAGAUGUUUUUUUGAAAAUUCGAAACAACUUCAAUGGCGACUUUAUGUCUUUUCUCUAUUAUUUUUAGAAUCGUAUUGUGAUUAAUUGUUUGAUUAGAUUGUGUGACUUUGGACAUUGUGAUAGAUAUUUGUGCGGCUGCAAAUCACUUCAUUAAGAGCAAAAUAAGCAUUUUAAAAUUGAAUUAUUAUUUAAUAAAGAAAUUUGUCAUUCUUUUGGACUAACUAAAGAGGAAAAUAAAUCAUAUAUGCUGAGAUAGAGAGAUUAAUAAUUUAAUUUUAAAUUAUCAAUUUUAUCCUUAACGAGAUUAUUUAUAGCCACACAAACACAUAUGACUUAUUUUAGUUCAAAAUUUUAAAAAAUGUUUCUUUUUUUCUUAAACUCCGUGUCAUAUCAAACAACGAGUAACAAUUUUGAUUCUUUUUCUUUAGUGAGUUUACUUCUCUUCUAGUAGUAUAUAUACACCUCUUAUUUCAGUAGAAUUUCUUAAGAACUCAACAGAAAAUCAAUGGAUGUUAAGCUUGGUUUUUGUGUACUUGUCUCCCUAAUUCUGCUGGUAAUUUCAAUAUUCUCCUCCAUCUUAAAUACAAUUAGCUACUUAUUAUAUAAAAACUCUGAUUAAUUAUAUAUAUGUCAGGUUGCUUAUGGAACAGAAGCUAGAAAAAUUGUUGAAGGAAAUUCUGAUGACAAUCAUGAGCAAGCAUUAAAAAAGAUUUACGGUUCCGGAUACACGUUCGAUUAUUAUAAAUCGAAACAGGGAGUAGAUGACAAUCAUCAACAAGAGAUUUCAGGUUUAGGGGACAUGUUUCGUAGUUGGUAUAAACAGGGGAAUGGUGAAAAAAAGAUUUCAGAUUUAGGAAAUAUCUUUCGUAGUUCGUAUAAACAGGGCAAUGAUGAGAAAAAGAUUUCCAGUUUAGGAGAUCCAUUUCGUAGUUGGUAUAAACAUGGCAAUGAUGAGAAAGAGAUUUCCAGUUUAGGAAAUAUCUAUCGUAGUUCGUAUAAACAGGGCAAUGAGGAGAAAAAGAUUUCCAGUUUAAGAGAUCCAUUUCGUAGUUGGUAUAAACAGGGCAAUGAUAAGCAUGUGAAGAAACAUGAUUCAUUUUUCUUCCUUAUGGAUGAUCUAAAAAUAGGGAAAAUAAUGACUCUCUCUUUUCAAACACGAAGAAAUCUAACUUCUUUUCCGAAAAAAGCAGUUGAUUCCAUUCCAUUUUCACAAGUUAAAUCCAUGGAAAAUACAUUGAAAAUAUGCGAAGAUUUGCCUAUAAAAGGAGAGGGAAAGUACUGUGCCACAUCCGCGGAGGCAAUGCUGGAUUUCGUGCAAGGAAUCAUUGGAGAAAAUACCCAAAUCAAAGCUCUGACAACGAUAACAACUCAUGAUAUUUCUCCCCUGCUUCGUCGUUAUACAAUUUUAGACACUCCACAACAAAUUACCACUCCUAAAAUGGUGGCGUGUCAUCUAUUGUCUAGUCCUUACGCGGUUUUCUACUGUCAUCACACAAUUGACAAUAAAAUCAAGGUGUUCAAGGUUUCAUUAGGGAAAAUUAAUGAAGCAAAUGGUGAUCGACUAGUGGAAGCGAUGGUUAUAUGUCAUUUGGAUACUUCUGAAUGGAAUCCAUCUCAUGAAUCUUUCCGAUCGCUCGGUGUAUUACCAGGAACAUCACCUAUCUGUCACUUUUUCACAUCAAGUAAUGAUCUAGUGUGGAUUCCAAAAUCAGUUGCCACUACUCCACUUGUAGCAGCGCUUUGAAGGAUCGAUCGGAGAAACUAGCUGCACUAUGUUCUUAGUUAUUGCUUAUGCGUCUAGACGCAAAGUAAUGUGUUUUAAUUUAGGGUGUUCUUUGUCUGUUUUAGUGGAGAUCUACUCCGAUGUCUAUCGGAGAUGAACUCCUAUCUGUGUUAAUUAUCUUUGUUUGGCUGUUGAGUAUGCUUUUGAUGAUAAUAAUAUGUUUGUCCUAUUUUGUAAAGUGUGCACAAGUGUUUUGUUACUAUGUUAACUUUUGAAUAUGCAAUUAAAUUUAAACUAAAGCUACAAUGCAUCUAUUUAAUUUGUUACACUUUCACAAUAAACACAAAUUAGGUAUAUAUCUCUUUCAAUCCUUCAUUAGAAUUGAGGUUUCGAAAUUGAAAUUUCAUUUUUAGAAUGCAACAAGAACCUUACAAGAAAAGUACUGAUUUAUUUUUCUCUUAUUUUCAUGAUGAAAAAGCAAAUUGCCCUUGUGUCAAACUAAAUCAACUAAAAUCUCUCCACAUGUGAUGAGAUAUUAUUGCCAUCAUUUUGUUUGUUGGAGACCCAACCCGUGACCUUGUCCUUUAGAACUUUGAAACCUAACCCAAAACUCCAAAAACAGCGGUGUCAGUCCUGCAAAGACAAUGAGUAUCGUUUAUCGGUUGUUUAGAAUGAAUUCAUAAAAUUUGGGGUCAAAUAGAGUUGGUUUGACAUAUUCUAGAAAAUUCAUGGAUUAAUAUACAUGAAAAAUUUAGAUAAUCUUAAAUUCCAUAUUUGUGACCCUGAAACUCAAAAAAAAGUGAGACAAAGAGUAUCGCUCACUAGGUCAUCAUGAAUAGACUCACAAAAUUUGGGGUCAAACAGAGUCGGUCAGUCCUAUUUCGGAAAAUUCAUAGUUUUUAGUACAUACGAGAAACUGAGAUAAUCGUUAAUUCAUGCUUCGUGACCCGAAAAUUCUAAAAAAGUGAUGUUGUUUCUUGAGAACUAGUGGGUAUUGUUCACUAGAUCGUUCCAAAUAGACCCAUAAAAUAUUAUUUACAUGAUGAGGUUUAUGAACCGUCCUAUUUCAGAGGUUAUGUUUUUUCAUACAUGUUUAUUUAAACUUCGUUUAAACUUUAGUGAACGAACUUGCGUUGGUUUGUUGUAUAACUAAGGAUGACAAUUGAGCAGGUUGAGUUAAAUUUGGGCGGAUCAUAAUGGAUUAAGACAAUAAUCGGGUCAAUUAUCUAACCCAACCCAAAUCUGCUUGGGUCAAAAUGGGUUACAUAACUGGUCAAGACCCAACCCAACCCAAUUUUUACCAAGCUUAAUUGUUUUACUUGGUCUUUUAAAUUAUUUUAGUACCUAAUAAAAUUAUAUUUUUUCUUUAUUAAGACCAUAUAUAACAUAUCAAAUUGAAAAAAAGUUUUUAAAAAUAUUUUGACUAGAUUUCUCAUGAGCCAAUUCGAGUUACACAUCAACCCAACUUUUAAUGGGUUGAAACAGAUUUGAUUGAAAUGGGUUGAACUCAUUUAUGGGCGGGUCAAUAACCCGCCCUAACAUAAACGGGUUGGACAAGUUGGGUUUGAUUUUGCCACCCCUAGGUACAACGGAGGGCCCAAUUUUGCAGAUGAGCAGACUACAGGCUAAUACUUUCCAUGCUUUGGUAGCUCCACUUCUUGCUUUUGGUGGAGACACAUAUAUUCAUAUUUCAAUUAUUCCUUUUAUGUUGAUAUUAUCUUCAAUUUAGAGGAUUUAUAGACAGUCUUAAAAUUUGGCUUAUGCAUUCUUAUGAUGCAUAAAUAUUGUACAAUGAUAAGAAAUUUCAUAAACACAAUUAAUACAAAUUUUCAGAAUGUUUACUUGAAUUUGAGAUCCAAAUAUUAUAUUUACUUUACAAAGAAUUGCAUUGAGUUGCACAAAUUUAAUUGAAUAAGAAUAUAAUAGAAAGCCAAGAUGGUUCACUCGGUUCAGUUAAGACAUCGGGUGCCGAUCACAGCUUGAUCAUAAAUUGAGUCAUGACAAAAGUUGAGCCAGUCAGGUAUAUUGCGAAAAAAAUCAUGAAUUAAUACACACAUAAAACUUAGAUAAUCCUAAAUUCCUAUUUCGUGACCCUGACAUUCUAAAAAAUUGAUAUUGGCCAUGUAGAAACAAGGAGUAUCGCUCAUUAGGUCGUCACAAAUAGACCGAAAAAUUUCGGGGUUAAAUGAAAUCAAUUAGUCAUAUUUCAGAAAAUUCAUAGAUUAAUACAUAUGAAAAGUUGAGAUAACUUAUUUUGUGACCCAAAAACUCCAAAAAGAGACGUCGGUCCUUGAGAAACAAUGAGUAUUGUUCACUAGGUUGUUUCGAAUUGACCCAUAAAAUUUGGUGUCAAACUGAGUAUGUCAUACAUUUCCAAAAAAUUCAUAGACUUGUACACACGUAAAGUUUAGAUCAUUUCGAAUUCAUAUUUUUAUGACCUAGAAAUUUUGUUAAAAAAUGGCGUCUGUUCUACAGAGACAGAGUAUCAUUCACUAGGUUGUCAGUCGUCACAUAUAGACCCACAAAAUUUAGAGUCAAACACAGUCAGAUAGUCAUACUCCAGAAAAUUCUUGGAUUGAUACACAUGAAAAUCAUAGAUAAUCCUGAAUUCAUAUUUUGUCGUUCGAAACUCCAAAAAAUUGGCAUAUAUCAGUCCUGUAGAGGCAAUGUGUAUCGUUCACUAGGUCGUCAUAGAUGGACGCACAGAAUUUGAGGUGAAACAGAGUUGGUCAAACAAAUUUCGGAAAAGUAAUGGACUAAUUAUAUACAUGAAGAGCUUAGAUAAUCCUAAAUUCCUGUUUUGUGAUUCCAAAACUUCAAAAUAAGUGACAUCAGUCCUGUAAAAGCAAAGAGUAUCGUUCACUAGGUCGUCACAAAUGUAGCCAUAAAAUUUGUGGUCAAACGGAGUCAGUUCGUCAUUUUCUCAAAAAUUCAUGGACUAAUACACACAAAUAGGUAAUUAAACCUGAAUUCCUAAUUCGUGACCUACAAACUCUAAAAAAGCGACGACAAUUCCUUGAGAAACAAUAAGUAUCAUUCACUAGGUCGUUUCAAAUGAGCCUACAAAAUUUGGUGUCGAACGGAGUCGGUCAACAUAUUUCAGAAAGUUCAUGGACAAAAACACACGAAAAAUUUAGAUAAUCAUGAAUUCCUCUUUUGUAACCUCAAAACUUCAAAAAAGUAGCGUUAGUUUUGAAGAGCCAAAGAGCAUCAUUCACUAGGUCAUCACUAAUAAAUCCACAAAAUUUGGGAUCAAACAAAGUCGGUCAAUUAUAAAGUCGUAUGUACUAGUUGGAGUCAUGUGUUUUUUGUACUUCAGAGUGUUCCGUUCCCUGUUAUAGUAACAAUUUUAACUAAAAGGAAAUUGCCAAUUCAACAGAGAAAUAAAAUGGAAAAUCUAUAGUCUAAACUCGAAUUGACAAAAGAGAAUGAGAAGAUUGCAUCAUCAAAGGUCAAGGCUUUGAAUACUCUACUUUACACUUAUCUCUCUUAAAUAAAUUUCACUACUAUGAAUUCUUCAAAUUAAUAAUUUCUAUGCUAUGCAAUUAAUAUUGCCUAUUUUUGACAACACACAAAAUACUAAGGGUAAAAUGGGAAAAGAAUAAUUAAUUUAAACUUGAUUUUAUAAAAUGACCAAAUAUUUUGGGACAAGUAUAUUUUAGUAACCUUUGAGAACUAAUAUAUAAUAGAGGGAAUAUUAUAUAAAGCUCCUAUUAAUUGUUAUGCGUGCAGUUUGAGGAAAGACCAAAUCAUAAAGUCUAUUGUAUGCAGCCUUAAUUACCUAAUUUUAUUAUUUAUGUAGGAAGUAGUUUCCAUAGUUUGAACUCGUGAUCUCCUGAUCAUAUCACAAUAACUUUAUCAAUUACACCAAGGUUUCCCUCAACGGAGGGAGUACUAUAAUUCAACUUAAAAUGGGUGAUAUCUGUUUCUGGUUAGUUGGUCCAAAGAUGAUAAAUGCAAGUGGGGUUGUGAUGAUGACAUAGGUCACACUUUUCCUCAACUCAUCUGGAUUUCUCUUGACUUUGUCUGGAUUUCUAUUGACUUUUGUCUGAGCCACAUUAAUGUGAAUUUAAGUUAGAUGCAUCCAUAAUAAUAUAAUAAAUUUUUAAUACUUGGUGUAAUUUAAUUGGUUAUAGUAAGUUAAUUAUUAUUUAGUUUAAGUUUACAUCUUAAUGUUAUUAAAUAUAAUUGACAUUAUAUAUAAAUGUGUUUAUUAACUUGAUCCCGAUCGAUAUCUAUGUCCUUCAAUUUUGAGUGUGUACAAGUAGACAUUUAAACUUAACGAAAGUUAAUGACUUUUCUUUGGUUUUAUGUAAAUAAUGAAUGCAAGUUUUGUCAACUAUGAAGGUGUAUUUUCCCCCUCCUUCUUUUGACUUGUAUCUGAUCAAUCAAUUCCUUCAUCUUGUUUUUCUAAAGUUGACUAAUCAAUGAAAUGCCAUUUAUAAUUAAGAUUUAUGUUAUAAAUACAUUAACUCGCUCUUUAACUUGUUUUUCUAAAGUUGAUACCUGUGCCUAUUGACUAAUGAUGCAAGUUAUAAAAAACUUAUUUGUAUCAGAUAUUUAUCAUGAGUUAAAUAGUUACAUGAUAUGUAUUUGCAUCGACACUUUUAGUACUUAGUCAAUAGAUAAAUUUACAUAGUUUGGUGUAAACACAACAAUUCAUAUGAAGUGGUUCUAUAUAAUGCAGUAACAUUGGCAACUACACAAAUCAAGUGCAUAGCAACAUCAUGGAGAAGCACAUUUUCUUAUUGAUUCUUCUCUUUCUAAUUCAAUUUUCUAUAUCAAUUGCUUUCUCAAAUGAGACUGACCAACAAGCUCUACUAGCUUUCCAAAAUCUUAUUACAACUCCCAAUCAUUUUUUGGCCAAUAAUUGGACCAAGACCGCGUCUUUUUGUUCUUGGUUCGGUGUCACGUGCAGUUCAAAAAGGCAAAGGGUUGUAGCCUUGACUCUUCCUAAUUUGCAACUUCAAGGCACAAUUUCCCCGUCUUUGGCUAAUUUGUCCUUUCUCAGUGUUCUCAAUCUCGAGAAUAACUCAUUCUAUGGUGGCAUCCCUUAUGGACUUGGCCACUUGCCUCGCUUGCAAGUGAUUGAUUUUCAAAACAAUGAGCUCCAAGGAAGUAUACCAACAAGUCUAUUUCAACACCCGAGAGUUCAAAUCAUUUCAUUGGCCUUCAAUAAACUCGGUGGUGAAAUGUGGAAAGGGCCAUGGUAUGUACCUGAACUUAGAGUCUUAAAUCUCAGGAACAAUAGCCUCACAGGUAUAAUCCCUCCUUCUGUUGGAAAUGCCACAAAGUUGAUGAACUUUAGCUUGUCUUAUAAUAGAAUCAACGGCAACAUUCCUAAGGAGAUCGGUAAUCUGAGCCAACUUGCAGUUUUGUCCUUGGUUGAUAAUCAAGUAACAGGUUCCAUUCCUACAUCACUUUUUAAUAUCUCGUCAUUACGUUCCCUAACUCUGGGAAGGAAUAGCCUUUCUGGUCCUCUCUUGCUUGAUGAAGGAAUAUUUUUAUCAAAUUUGGAGCGUUUAAGUUUAACUCGCAACCAAAUUUCUGGUCGCAUUCCUUCUAACAUCUGCCAACUCAUACAGCUUAAAAUACUGUCAAUAUCUUCCAACAACAUAACUGGAGAAAUACCCAAAAUUAUUGGUUGUUUAUCGAAGCUCGAGGAGUUUUAUAUUGGUAAUAAUCCAAUAACAGGGACUAUUCCCACUUCAUUGGGAAAUAUUUCCACUCUGCGAAAUCUUUACUGUGAAACCAAUAGCUUGGAGGGGCCAAUUCCACCAGAAUUGGGGAAGCUAUCAAAUUUGAUAGAAUUAGAUUUUGAAGAAGUUUAUAAUCUUAUAGGUCAGAUUCCGGAGGCUAUUUUUAAUAUAACUUCUUUGGAAUACAUUGCGUUAACUUCGAACAAACUCUCAGGGAGAAUUCCAACCUCUACUGGUCUUCAUCUUCCGAACCUCUUAGAACUUCAUUUGUCUGGCAAUGAGCUAGAAGGGGAAAUUCCUCCGCAUAUCACAAAUGCUUCCAAGCUUGAAAGGUUGGGGCUAGCAACCAACUUCUUCAGUGGAAGUAUUCCAACUAAUUUGGGAAACCUUCGUGAUCUGCGACUUCUUUUCCUACAUGAUAAUCAACUUACCAGUGAACAUGAGUUGCCAUUCUUCCAAUCUUUGGCAGACUGUAGGAUGUUGCAAUAUCUAGAUGUGGGUUACAAUCCGUUGAAUAGUGUUCUGCCCAAUUCAAUAGGUAAUCUUUCAUCUACUAUUGAAUUCUUUGAAAUGAGCAAUGCUCACAUCAAUGGACUCAUCCCCACAAGUAUAGGCAACAUGAGCGGUUUUAUAACCUUAUUCUUUCAAGAUAACAGCUUUAUGGGAAAUAUUCCUCCUGAGUUUGGUAAGCUUAAACAACUCCAAGGGAUGUAUCUAAAUAACAAUAAAUUGCAGGGACAUAUUCCAGAGGCGGUAUGCAAUUUAUCUCAUUUGGGACGAUUAAAUCUGGAAGGUAAUAAGCUCUUUGGGUUAAUUCCAGCAUGUAUAGGAAAUCUUAGCAUGCUACAACAUCUUUAUUUGGGUUCUAAUAAAUUUUCAUCAAAAUUUCCGUUGAGUCUUUGGAAAAUGAGUGGUCUUCUCUUUCUAAACGUGUCACAAAAUUCUAUAGAGGGAGAAGUUCCAUCAGAUAUUGGAGAACUGAAAGCCAUUGUAAAACUAGAUCUUUCAGGUAACCAUUUCUCAGGCAUGAUACCAAGCAGAUUGGGGGAACUCCAAAACCUGCAGUCCCUUGACCUAUCAAACAAUUCAUUUACAGGCUCAAUUCCAUUAUCCUUUGCCAACUUGAUAAGCUUGGAAUUCUUGAAUUUGUCUUUAAAUGCCUUGUCAGGUACUAUUCCUAAGUCAUUAGAAAAACUCACCCUUAAAAGCAUUAAUGUUUCAUUUAAUGAAUUAGAAGGUGAAAUACCCAAUGGUGGUGUGUUUGUAAAUUCUACUUUGCAAUCAUUUCUCGGAAACAAAGGUCUAUGUGGAAUGCGCAAAUUGGAGGUUCCUGCUUGCCCUAUCAGUAGUCAUGGAAAACAAUCAAAGUCUAAGGAGCUUGUGCUGAAAAUUGUUAUUCCAGUGGUUGUUUCAUCCUUUCUGAUACUCUUGUUGGUGUCAGCUUGGAUAAUGAAACGAAAGAAGAAAGGAAAGUCCAGAGAUGUUGAAAAGGUUCCGGAGAUAAGGACAUAUCAAUUGAUUUCUUAUCAUGAGAUUCAACGAGCAACAAAUAAUUUUGAUGAAUCAAAUUUAAUUGGUGUGGGAGGUUCUGGCUCUGUAUACAAAGGCACAUUAUCUAGUGGAAUUUUGGUGGCUAUAAAGGUUCUGGAUUUGCAAAGUGAGGAAGUAUGCAAAAGGUUUGAUACCGAAUGCGAAGUGAUGAGAAAUAUCAGGCACAGAAAUCUUGUUCCGGUGAUUACUACUUGUUCUAGUGACUAUAUAAGAGCCUUUGUUCUGCAAUAUAUGCCCAACAGUAGUCUUGAUAAUUGGUUGUACAGAGAAGAUCACCACUUGAACCUUCUUCAAAGAGUCACCAUAAUGCUUGAUGUGGCUAUGGCAAUUGAAUAUCUGCAUCAUGGUCAUGAUACUCCGAUUGUUCAUUGCGACCUAAAGCCAGCC